GAAUCUUUCUCACAACAAACUAAUAGGCGGUCUUGAGCAACUGCCUUGGAGUCAUAUUGAAUAUCUUGAUCUCCAAUACAAUAAGCUGAAUGGAUCGUUGCCCACCUUGAUGUGUAAUUCCAGCUCUCUUUAUAUUCUAAAUCUGUCUCACAACAAGUUGAGUGGUGUACUACCCAUUUGUCAUACAAAUUUGACUUGGCUUUCCGUGUUGGAUCUGCGGAGGAAUAAAAUUCAAGGAAACAUUCCAGCAACCCUGUCAAAUUUCCAUAAUCUGGAAACCAUUAAUUUGAAUGGAAACCAAUUAGAAGGAAGCAUUCCUUCUUCUUUUGCUGGAUUUGAUUCUUUAGCCGUUCUUGAUCUUGGAAAUAAUCAGAUAAAUGAUACAUUCCCCCAGUGUUUGGAAGCUCUUCCAAAUCUUCAAGUUCUUGUUCUCAAAUCAAAUAAGUUUUAUGGUCUUAUAAACACGAGUUCUCAGGUUGUACACCCAUUUCCUAGCUUGAGAAUCAUUGAUCUUUCGUACAACAAGUUUUCAGGUGCACUGCCAGAAAAAUAUUUCAGAAACUUCAAGGCUAUGAUGAAUGGUGAAGUGAAUAAGGUAAAUCGUAGUUAUAUGGAGCAGGAUCUUUACAGUGAUUCCACAGCUCUAGUGAUUAAAGGCAUGGAGAUUGAUUUAGAAAGAAUUUUGACUGUGUUCACAACUAUUGAUGUAUCAAAGAACAAUUUUGAUGGGGAGAUAGCUGAAUACUUUGGAAAUCUUGUAUCACUCAGAUUUCUUAAUCUUUCUCACAAUUAUCUCACAGGCCACAUACCACGCUCGAUUGGAAAAUUGACUGUGCUGGAGUCACUAGACCUCUCAUCCAACCAACUUCAAGGAGAAAUUCCUCCGCAGCUCACUAGUGUAUAUUCACUUGCAGUUCUCAAUCUGUCUUGCAACCAACUUAGAGGACGUAUUCCAGAAGGGUCGCAAUUCAAUACAUUUGAAAUCUACAGCUACGUCGGGAACUUUGGGCUGUGCGGAAAACCCUUGUCAAAAAAGUGUGAAAAUUAUGUCAGGGCACAAGAAGAAGACGAAGAAGAUGAGGAUGAUGAUUACUUUUUCAGUGGAUUUACUUGGGAAGCGGUGGUGAUUGGAUAUGGGUGUGGAGUGGUGCCUGCAUUUAUCACUGGCUACCUGAUGUUGUUGGCACGGAAACCAAAAUGGUUUGCUGGAAUCAUUGGCAGGGAACUGGGCCUGAAGAUCAGGAGGAUGGAGAUUAGAAGGCGAUAACUAAAGGUUUGCUGUAAUCUAUAUCCCAAUCUGUAGGUCUUGAAUAUUCAGUAAUAAUAUAUAUAGUAAUAUCUGCUAUCAUAUAAUUCUAUAUUUGCAGAUUGGAGAGGCAUGAACAUUUUGGCAUGCAAGUUGAUGGGACAAGCAGGAUUCAGAUGCACUGGAAUCAACCACUACUUCAGCUGUUUAAUUUGCAUCUUUUCUAAGUUACUCUGCACAUAUUCUAAGUUCCAUAUACAAGUUCUGUAAUGUUUAGUUAUUCUGCACAAACUCUAAGUUAGUUUCAACCACUGGGGUGUAAGCAGCCAAGUUAAUAAACCAGCAGUUUCUGCAGCUUUCACAACGUUGCUUCAUAUUAUUUUCCCCCUUAUUAGAUGAGCAAUAUAUUUGUGGAAUGGAUGUACCUGAAUUUGGUAUCCGAAGCUUAGUUAUAGAAAUUGUAGAUCAGCUAGUUUGCAACUUAGUGAGAAUGCUUUCCAUUGGACUUGAUUUACUCGUAGAGAAGCAGCACGCAAUGUUAAGGAAGGCCUGAUACAUAAUGUAUUCGAGGAAGUUUUGGAUUUCUUUUUAUUGAGAGUUUUUGCAAAACGUGGUUAAGAAAUUUGAGUUUUAAAAUUAGCUGUAAAAAGUAAUAGGUCAAUUGUAUUAGAUAUUUCAUGCAUUUGAGUUUUAAAAUUAGCUGUAAAAAAUAAUGGGUCAACGGCAACAGAAAUGAAUUGGUUUGGUUUCACCCGUAAGAGUUCUGCACUUCACACUCUAAAUUCCAGAAUUAAUAAAUUCAAGUCAUCUUUUAUGUCUUAGAGCAUCUCCAACCAUACAAAUUUCUUAACUAAAAAAUGAGGCAUUACAAAUAUAGAAAAUUAGUCAACUUGUUGAAAAAAUCAUAAAACCUGUAGUCUAUAAUUUUAGCCAACCUCUUACUAUAUUUGUCGAAUCUUUACAGAUCUACAAAUUUCUUACACGUUAUUUAUUACCAUAUUAAACUGAUAUAUUCUAUUUUAACAAACUAAAAUAUCAUUGAAGUACAAUGUCUUACAACUUCUGUAUAUAAUGUCUUACAAGUUCAAUUUAACCAACGAUUAUAGCCUACGAUGUUGCAAUGCUCUUAAGCCACUCUUUAUUAUUUUUGAUUCCAUAAUAAAUAAGUUUAAACUUUAAACUUUUUAUAUUUAAUAAAUUUAUAUAAUUAAUAAUAAUUUAAUUAUUAUUUUUUUAUUUGUAUUAAGUUUAAUUUAUAGAUACCUUUAUAUCAAAAAUACUAAAAUCAAUCAAAAUUUUAAUAUUUUGAUUCAGUAACUGGAAUAUAAAUAUAUCUAACUUUUGAAAUGAUAAAUAAAUAGUUUAUGAUUAAUAAAAAACUAGUAAGUAACUUGCACGAUUUCUCUUAUUUACAGUAAUAAAUCUCUUAUUAGCACUUUCAACUAAAUAUUUCUCCCAAACACUUAUAAUUUAUGUCCAAUUUUCAUAUUAUUUCCUUUAGAAAGACUGUUGUAUUAUUUUUAAUUUUAGUAAUUAGAUUAUUUUUAUAUAUAUAAAUUCCAAAUUUAAAAAACUUAAUAUUUUUGUCACGCUGCUUCUUAUAAUUUGUAAUACAAAUUAUUUCUAGAUAAAAUUAAUAUAUUAAUAAAAAUAGUGUAAACUCCAUAUAAUACAUUGAAAUUAAAUAAAUAUGCUCUGUACUUUUUUUUCACAUGCAAAAAACUGCACUGUUUCGGUUUAAGCAAAGCGUGAUAAUCAGGACUCCUAGCUGGAAUGGCGAGUAUUAUUCCUACGAAGAAGAUGAUGUUCAUGAUAUCCCUUCACCCCCAAAGACAAAGAAUUGGAGCAUGAAUUCUGAUUACUGCAUGUGGGAUGGAGUUAGCUGCGACGAGAAUACAGGGGACCUAAGGGGACUGGAUUUAAGCUGCAGUCAUCUGGUGCAUUGGAAUGAAAUUAUAGAACUUCUUCAGAGCCUGAUGCUCUCGAGGAUGCACUAAUGAACAAGCCUAAUGAUGAUCAUGAGUCAUAACUCCGUCCUAGAAUAAAGUAUCAUGAAACAUAUUUAGUAUUACAUUUUGUAUUAUUGGAAACUUGAUUUGAAACCGAAAUAGUUUGGUGGAAUCAUUGCCAGGGUAUUGGGUCCGAAGAUCGAGGAUGGAGAAUAAAUUGAUUUUGUUCAAAUAUUUAACACAACCCCAUCAUCAUUAUCCAUCACAAGCCCGGUCCAGUGUAGAGUUCUGGCAACUCCAUUUCUUGACACUUCUGUUGAAGUUGGCCUGUCUGGCAGACAAGAGGCCCUGUUUUAGAGGUGAUAUAUGCGCACAGGUCAAAAAUAUACUCCCUCCGUCCCACCAGAUUCUUUACAGUUUCCUUAUUUGGUCGUCCCACCCAUUUCUUUACAUUACAAAACUUUCUUAAAAUAGUUAAUGGGUCCCAACACUUUUCCACUUUUUCUCCCUUUUCACACUACUUUUACUCCACUAUCUCUUUAUUAUAUAUUAAAAAUCAGUGGGUCCCACCACUUCACCCACUUUUCUUUCUUUUUCCCACUACUUUAUACAUAUUUCUUAACCUCCGUGUCCAAACCCAAUGUAAAGAAUUGGGUGGGACGGAGGGAGUAUAUUUCUUCCAAUAGAUUACAUCUCUUUUCUUCAAAAUUUAUUGUAGUUUCAAAAUGUAGCAUUUGAGAACUCAUUCUCUUCACUUCUUAAAUACUUGGUCUUGGUCAAUACAAACACGAUUAAGACCGGUGUCAAUAUCACUCAUUAUUUUUCCACUCCUUUGAAUGGCAUUCUACAAUCCACAUAUCAGUACUCAGACUUUCACCAGUGAACCAUUAAUGCAUAGAUAAUUGAAGAAAGAAACUUCAACAUAUUUGCAUAUCUUUAUCCAUCUUUUUUUUCUAGUCAUCAACAGGCACAAGCUGUUAAUUUUUAUAUGUUCUUAAUUGGUAUAAGCAUUUAAGGUGCGUGUUGAUAUUUCUCACUAAUCUUCUUCUGCUCUAAGUGACAUAUUAUUACAAUCCACAAAUUAGUAGACAGACUAAUAUGGUUAGUUGAGACCAUCAAUCUGGAGAACAGACUAAUACAUGUGUAGUAAUCUGAUCAUCAUUUAUUUGAUUACAAUAGAAAUUCGGCUUUGUUUAGUUCCAUCCUCGGGCUCUUCAUUUCUAAACAUAUUUGCUGAUACUUUUUAUUGUACAAUUUAGAAUAUUCCAUAAAAUUUUAAAUUCGGUGCUAGAUGAUUUUAUGUCCUGUUUUCAUUCCAUUCAUGAACUAAUGAAAAUUUUGAAAUUGGGUCAUAUUAGGCAGUGAUGCCACCUUUCUGGACCUGCAUUUCAUGGCCACAAACUCCUAUUGUGCCAAAAAAUUCCAGCUGUUUGGUGAGAUUUUUCUACGUGCUCUUUUGUUCGGACUUGUUUGCUGAAUCCCACAAUAGACAAUAUUGAUGUUAACAACUCUUGCGUCAGUUACUAGACUUGUCAGUAGCCCAUUCUUUACGGCAGACGUGGAAUUUACUUGAAGAAAUGAAGGUGUAAGAAAGUUGAGAACAUUUUGUUGAUUAUUUCCUUCCCCAGAAACUGCACUCCAGCAUCAAAGUACCUUUCAAAGACUCCAGCAUCAUUUCUUGAUUAUCAAAGUCUUCGUCUUUGUCAUCUCCUGCUCUGAAAGUGCUUCUAUUGCAGACCACAUAUUAGUAGACAGACUACUAAAAUUCAUCUAAAAUGACCUCUCUGCGUGGGCUCUUUUGAACAAUCAGGGUUGGACAUGAUUCUACACGCAUCAGAGAAAAACUAUCAGCUGGCUAAAAACCUCUCUGCAUCAACUCUAUUGAGAAAAGAAACUAUGGCUCAUACAGUUUAAGUUGAUACCAAAUCGUAAAUGAGAAUACUUGCAGUUUUAAAUUACUGCACGCUAUUUUUUCAACGAAAAUAUGUGCAGUUUUAACAUAGUCUAAUUAUUUUCUUGAUGACGGCUCUGCAAAUUGUGAUAGUUGAAAAUCUUUUUAUCGUCUUUGACAAGCAUCAAGGAAAUGCAGGAAGGUUAUUUAUCAGCUGAUUAAUCUCUUUCUUUGUCUCUGAAAAUCCUUACAUUAGAUCUGUUGAGAGUCUUUACUGGGGAUAAUCUUCUGUCACUGGAUCUGUUGAGGUAACUUUGGGACAAAGUACUGUCUCUAUUACAUGGAAGUUUGAACUGUUUCAUAUUUUUUAGACAACUAAAUGCACUUACAAACUCGACUUGUGUUUGAAAAGGUUCAGACACUCGAACCUUGAAAAGAACGAGAGAGAUAUUAUUGGAUCAAGAGAUCUUUAGUCAGGUCUAGUGCUUUCUUAAAUUAAUUUCCUAAAGUUUCAGUUAAGAUGUGAACCAAAGCUCUUGGUGGUGGUUCUCAUUGCUCUCUUUGUUCCAAAUUAAACUUAAAAAUUGUUGUGUGAUCCCAAGUUGCGGGUUUACUGAUGAGAAUAAUAAAUAUUCAACUGAUGAUACCGAAGCAGCAGCAUACUGCAAUUUCUUGUAAUAAUCAAAAGUGCGAGUACUUAUAAAGAAACUUAUACCUAUAAAGCUGUAGAAACCAAUGGUAAGCAUAACUGCAUAUAAGAUACAAAACUAAAUUUAAUACAAGACUUGUUCUAAGCAUUGGAAAAUAUAAUUCAUCCUGGUCUUCAUCUUCUACUGCUCCAAAUAUGCUUUUAUUGCAGCCAAUGUAUUAGUGAAAAGAAUUAAAUUUAAAUUAAUUGUAGACCGCAAAUAUAAGAUUAUGAGAGUUUCUACAACCCACAAAUUAGUAGACAGACUAAUAUGGUUAGUUGAGACCAUCAAUCCGGAGAAACUGUUUCUAAAAUGACCCAUCUGUAUGAAUUAAUGAAGAAAGAAACUUAUACCUACAAUGUAAAGGAAAUGGUCACGAGUAUAUUGCAUUUUUAAUCCAAAUUGUAUAUGAUUCUAUCUGUGCUACUGAUAGUAAAUAAUAAAUCUACCACGGGCCUUGUAGUUAAUCAAGGUAUUUAACUCUACCUUUCUACAUUGUUGAAUAGUUUGAAUAAAAUAAUUGUAAUAAAAUUUUUUCUGGUGCUGUGUGAGUUUAUCAAAGCUAAUCUCGGUGAGAAAUUAACUAAAGCCCUUGGAAUUAGUAAAUAAAAACUCUGGGGAGUGAAAUUAAAAGUCUGAGUACAAGGCAAUGAGCAGGAAACAGCAUAAGGAGUUUACAACUUGAAGUUUCUAUUCUCCUCCGGUCUUUUUGUGAAAAUCAAGUGGCCAUUGAUACAGUUAAAAAUGGCAGGACUACACAUAAUAAAUCACACAGUCGCUUUAUGAGAGAGGAAAAAUGUCAGGACUGCAAUGCAUUUCUAGCCCAUUUUGUACAGCAGCUCAAACGUUUAAAAAACUUCAUUAAUUAUUUUCUUUUAUUGAAACCCACACUCAUCCAUCAAAGUAGCUCUCAAAGACUAAUUUCCAUCACCUUUUGAUUCUCAAAGUCUUCUUCUUCGUCUUCUACUGCUCCAAAAGUUCUUACAUUGCACGCCACAUAUUAGUAGACAUAUACUUGAUCUUGAUGUACAAUGUUAUGUUAUGAUGCUAAUAACCCUCUGCAGGGGUUAUUAAAGAAAGCAACUUAUAGUUUAAGUUGCUGAACAUUUGUGUGUGCCAAAUUUAAUUUCACACAUCAUUACUAGAUUUACACAUGGUAUUAGACAUCAGUACUAGUAUAAGAUGUUAAUCAAGUUUUUGAAUUUCUUUUAUUUCAGAUAACAAGUUUAAUUUUUUUUUUGUGGAAUUAAUUAUUUAUAUCACGCAUUUGAGCUUUAAAAUUAGCUCUAAAUAAAAGUUGAUUUUCGCUCAAAGAAACAAUGAUGUAUAAGAAGAUUUUCAGAACUGAAUUAUUUCUUUCAUUUUUACAAGUUCCAUUCAAGAACCGAAAGUAGCUCACAAAGACUCACUACAUCAUCUUUCAAUUCUCAUAGUCUUGGUCUUUGUCUUCUGCUGCUCAAAAAUUCUAUUACAGCCCACAUAUCAGUAUCAUAAACCUAAUUAUGAAUAGUAUUUAACACUAAACACAAUUGAAGAUUUGUCUCACAGACUUACUUCCAUCACCUUAUGGUUCUCAAAGUCUUCGUCUUCUAAUGCUCCAAAAGUUCUAUUAGUGCAGGCCACAUAUUAGUAAACAGACUACAAUUCAUCCAAAAUGACCCCUCGUAUUGGACACUUUGAACACCUCUGUCUGUAUAUGCAUUGGAGAAGAAUUAUCAGCUAGUUAAAAUAAGGGAAAUUCUUCAUGGUACACUCAUAAAAUUGGCUUUUCUCAAUGGUACCAUCCCAUUUUUGACUGGUACCAGUGGUACCCUCGUACUUUGAAUCUACUCUCUAUGGUACACUCGUGUACUUUUGAUCUAAAAUUGGAUGUAAAAGUUGUUUAGAGACGGGUAUUUUGUCUAAGUUUGUAUUUAAUCAUCAGGUAUUUGGUCUUUUAGUCAGACUGUGGCUCAUACAGUUUGAAGUUGAUAUCAAAUCUUAGAUGAGAGUGUUUGCAGUUUUAUAUUACUGAACAUUUUUUCUUGAAUUCGAUAUCGAAUUUUAAACGAAAAUAUGUGCAGUUUUAAUUUGAAAGUUAUGCAAAUUACAUUAAUAAUAUCAUCUAUUUUGAGUCUCUUGGUCUUCGGUCUUCUAUUGCAGCAUAUCAUAUACUUCUCAAAUGAUUGAAAAUGAACUCUCUCCAAAAGACAAGGGGGUCUAUCGAAGUAGACCUGCAAUUGAUUUUACUUGAAGAAACAAUAAUACUCCAGUUCACUUCUUAAAGUUUUGGUCGUCUUUUAUCUCUCAAAGUCUUGAUCUUUGUCGUUUACAUCUCAAACAAUUUUCCAUCGUAUUGAACACUUCACACAAUUCCAUCGUAUUGAACACUUCACACAAUUCCAUGCUAUCGUAUCAAACACUUCACACAAUUCCAUAAAAUUGAAGAUUUUUGACGAGAUGUUUUAACUAUGAGUUCUUCAAAUUAUUGCUUGUAAGGCCCGCGACAUUUUAGAGAGUCACCAAAGCUUUGGCCUGUGGAUUAAGUUGAUGAAAUCUAAUGCAUCGGAAUCAAUGACAACACUAUUUUAGGGGCUUGAUGCUCUUAAUAUUAUUCAUUCCGCUCAUAAAUUUCAAGUGGAGAGUGGAGAAGAAAGAGCAUCGUGAUUGUCACGGUACCCUUACUUAAAAUUUGUUCGAUUAGGUUUUUUUACGUAGUUUGCGCUUGGUCAUCUAGGUAGGCCUUCAUUAUAUUAACCCACUCGCAUGUCUUCAGCCACUCUUGUAAUUUCAUUAGGGCUGUCAAAAAAGUCCGAAAAAUCCGAUAUCCGUCCGAAAAAUCCGCAUUCGUAUCCGAGAUAAAGCGGAUAUUAUCCGUAUCCGAGACAAAGCGGAUAUUAUCCGCAUCCGAAUCCGACAAUUCCGGAUACGGAUACAGGCAUAUUUGUAUCCGAUAAUAUCCGAAUCCGAAAUUAAAUAUAUAUAUGAUAUUAAAUAUUAUAUAUGUAUAUUAUUAGUAUUAUUCAAUAACUAUAUAAUGUGUGUAUUUAUAUAUGUAUACAUAAAAUAAUAUAUUUAUAUAAAUUUUGUAUAAUUUUAAAAUAUUAUAGACAUAUAUCAUAAUUUUAUUUGAGUUUGAUAUUCUAAAGAUAACAAAUUUAUAUUGAAAGAUAAAUAAGAAUUAAUUUUUGAAUUAAUAUAAACUUUAUUUAAUGAUUUUAAUUUUUUUACUCAGUUUUUAAAAAUUAAACUUUAAUUUUUACUAUUUUUUAUGAUUUUUUAGAAAUUUUAAUAAAAAAAUAAAAUUUCUGAUUAAAAAUCAGAUUCGGAUCCGGAUAUUAUCCGAAUCUGGAUAAUAUCCAUCGGAUCCGGAUUCGGAUAUCAUCCUUUAAAAUAUUUCGGAUUCGGAUCCGGAUACGGAUAUGGAUUUUCGGAUUCGGAUCCGGAUACAGGCAGAUCCGUAUCCGAAUUAUCCGUUUGACACCCCUAAAUUUCAUAUUAAACAAAUUUAAAUUUCUUACAUAAAUUUGUAAAAAUAAUAAAUUUUUUCUUAUUUAUGAUAUUAAUAAAUCUCUUACUCUCUUAUUACUGUAUUCAACUAAUUAUUUUUUCCUAACAGUUAUAAAUGUAUCACAUCAGUUAUGAAAUUUAAAACAAAUAUGUCCAAUUUUUUCGAGAAAGAUGGUUGUAUAAUUUUUAAUUUAAAAUUUUAAUUAUUUUUAUUUUCAAUAUAAUUUACAACUAAAUUUUUUUUAUUAUAAUUUCACUGCUUCAUAUUUGUAAUAAAAUUAAAUAUAUCAUAAAUACACUUUUUUCUAUAUAUAUGCUAACCUCUAGAGAUGUUAAAGAUCAUCCCAAACAAAAUUUGAAAGCGAAAAUGAAAAUGAAAAAUUCCGUACUCUGUUUUUUCACCAUCAGUGUGAUGCUCAUCUUCUUGCAGUUGCAGCACCACCUGGUGGCUUCUUCAUUGAGCCCCAGCUUGCAGAAACUUGCGUUGUUCGACUUUAAACAAACCUUUUCAAUCAGUAAUGAUCCUAAUAGCUGGAUAUGCUCCUAUUAUUCCGUCGAAGACGAAGAGUUUUACGAAAUUCCUUCUCGGCCAAAGACAAAGAAUUGGAGCAUGAGUUCUGAUCACUGCACAUGGGAUGGAGUUAGCUGCGACGACAAGACAGGGGAUGUUAUCGGACUGGAUUUAACUUGCAGUCAGCUGCAAGGAGCCAUUCUUCCUAACAACACUCUCUUCCAGCUCUCUCAUCUCCGCUUCCUCAAUCUUUCUCAAAACGACUUUUCCCAUUCCAACCAGUUCCCUCAGGAAUUUGGUUUCUUUGCAAAAGGUUUGAAGCAUCUCAACCUCUCUUAUACUGGAUUAUCAGGGAGAGUUCCCUUGGGAAUCUCUCAUUUGCAGAAACUGGUCUCACUUGAUCUCAGUUACAACUCUGAAGCUGAACUUAAAGAAGAAGUGUUUAAAUCAAUGUUGCAGAAUUUAACUCAUCUCAGAGUGCUUAAUCUUAAUUACGCUAACAUCUCCUCUGUUUUGCCCGUGAAUAUCUCUGCUUCUUUAAGAGUUCUUCAAUUGUGGGGUACUGGUAUAGACGGAGUAGUACCCCAAGAGGUUUUCCACCUUCCCAACUUGGAAUCACUUGAUUUAUCAAGUAAUUACGACCUGAGAGCUACAUUACCCAAAGUUAAGUGGGGAAGUAAUGCUACUCUCCAACACCUUGUUCUUAAAUACAUCAACAUAGAUGGAGGUAUACCUGAUUCAAUAGGCUUUUUGGAGUCGUUGGGCAGUUUGGAUCUGAGCCGUUGUAAUUUGUCUGGGCCGAUUCCAAGAUCCAUCGGGCACCUCAUUCAACUUACUACAUUGGUCCUCUCUGAAAAUAAUCUCAAUGGCCCAAUUCUAACUUUUCUUACAGACCUUAAAGACUUGAGAUAUAUCUCCCUUGAGCGUAACAAUUUUACGGGUUCGUUUCCCUCUUUUCUUGCCCACUCCAGUAAACUAGUUGUGAUGUAUCUUGAUAGUAAUAGCUUUACUGGAUCCCUACCCAGUUGGUUGUUUCACCCUCCAUCGUUAGAGACCUUGUAUCUGCAUAAUAACGCAUUCACGGGUCAACUACAUGAAUUUCAUUCUUCUCACUCACGGCUGCAAUCUUUUUGGUGUAACAACAAUUUACUCUACGGAUCCAUUCCACAUUCAUUUUCUCAACUUGUGAAUCUCACAUCCCUAGAUUUGUCAUCAAACAAUUUCAGCGGGGUUUUGGAUUUGGAAAUGUUUUCAGGCCUCAAAUUUCUAAGAAGUCUUGAUCUUUCUCAUAACAGUCUGUCAGUGAGAAGUACAAUCAUGUCUACUCUCCCUCCUAAACUUAACCACUUGGGCUUGUCAUCUUGCAACAUGAAAGAGUUUCCUCACUUUUCAAGAGAUGCAAACAUCUCCAUGGAUUUUAUAGACCUAUCAAACAAUAAAAUUGAAGGGGAAAUUCCACACUGGAUUGGGUCGCUGGGGAGGUACUCUGACACUUACAGCUCCUAUCUGAAUCUUUCUCACAACAAACUAAUAGGCGGUCUUGAGCAACUGCCUUGGGGUUAUAUUACUUAUCUUGAUCUCCAAUACAAUAAGCUGGAUGGAUCGUUGCCCACCUUGAUGUGUAGUUCCACCUCUCUUCAUAUUCUAAAUCUGUCUCACAACAAAUUGAGUGGUGUACUACCCAGUUGUCCUCCACAUAGGAAUAUUCUUUCAGUGUUGGAUCUGCGGAGGAAUAAAAUUCAAGGAAACAUUCCAGCAACCUUGUCAAAUUUCUAUAAUCUGGAAACCAUUAAUUUGAAUGGAAACCAAUUAGAAGGAGGCAUUCCUUCUUCUUUUGCUGAAUUUGAUUCAUUAGCCGUUCUUGAUCUUGGAAAUAAUCAGAUAAAUGAUACAUUCCCCCGGUGUUUGGAAGCUCUUCCAAAUCUCCAAGUUCUUGUUCUCAAAUCAAACAAGUUUUAUGGUCUUAUAAACACGAGUUCUCAGGUUGUACACCCAUUUCCUAGCUUGAGAAUCAUUGAUCUUUCGUACAACAAGUUUUCAGGUGCACUGCCAGAAAAAUAUUUCAGAAACUUCAAGGCUAUGAUGAAUGGUGAAGUGAAUAAGGUAAAUCGUAGUUAUAUGGAGCAGGAGGAUUAUUACAGGGAUUCCACAGCUCUAGUGAUUAAAGGCAUGGAGAUUGAUUUAGAAAGAAUUUUGACUGUGUUCACAACUAUUGAUGUAUCAAAGAACAAUUUUGAUGGGGAGAUAGCUGAAUACUUUGGAAAUCUUGUAUCACUCAGAUUUCUUAAUCUUUCUCACAAUUAUCUCACAGGCCACAUACCACGCUCGAUUGGAAAAUUGACUGUGCUGGAGUCACUAGACCUCUCAUCCAACCAACUUAAAGGAGAAAUUCCUCCGCAGCUCACUAGUGUAUAUUCACUUGCAGUUCUCAAUCUGUCUUGCAACCAACUUAGAGGACGUAUUCCAGAAGGGUGGCAAUUCGAUACGUUUGAAAACAGCAGCUACGCUGGUAACUUUGGGCUGUGCGGACAUCCCUUGUCGAAAAAGUGUGAAUCUUAUGUUAAAACACAAGAAGAAGACGAAGAAGAUGAGGAUGAAUGUCACUUUUUCAGUGGUUUUACUUGGGAAGCGGUGGUGAUUGGAUAUGGGUGUGGAGUGGUGCCUGCAUUUAUUAUUGGGUACCUGAUGUUGCUGGCACAGAAACCAAAAUGGUUUGCUGGAAUCAUUGGCAGGGAAUUGGGCCUGAAGAUGAGGAGGAUGGAGAUUAGAAUGCGAUAACUAAAGGUUUGCUGUAAUCUGUAUCCCAUUCCCAGGUCUUGAAUAUUCUGUGAUAAUAUAGUAAUAUCUGGUCUCAUAUAAUUCUAUAUUUGCACCUGUAGACGUUUACAGAUUGGAGAGGCAUGAACAUUUUGGCAUGCAAGUUGAUGGGAAAAGCAGGAUUCAAAUGCAUUGGAAUCAACAACUGCGGUGUUGUAGGCAGCCAAGUUAAUAAACCACUACUUCAGCUGUUUUGCAUCUUCUGUGAUUUUAAAUUUUACAUUUUACAAUAUAAGUCAAAAGAUACAAGUUCAAUAUACAAGUUUUGUUUUGUUUAGUUCCAGCCUAUAAACACUUCAGUAGAUACCAGAGGAGAAAUGGAUACAAUCAAUGUCGGAAUUGGUCUUUAUAGUUGAAACAAAGACUACCAGAUCAUUACCAAUAUCAACUAGGCAUGUUGUUUAACGGGGAACUCAUAACUGGACAAUAAUUUUAAUAAUUUAGAAUUUGUGUAAUUUAUUACUGGUCUAAAGGACACGGGAUGGGUUUGCAAUAGUUAUUUGGAAACAGCUUGCUUAGAUAAAUGGACAGUGUUUUAUAAUAAUAGAGUCCGGGGCCUAUCAAGUGAUUGUUAGAGCAAUUUAUCUACUGUUUUUUAUAGCGGAAAAACAUAAACACUUGGUUUUUUAGUGCAUGCAGAGGGUCCAUCAGUCCAUCCGCAAUUUACACACUCAUUAUUCCAGGAUUCUCUGUUUCAUGGUAUUCUGCUGUGUAAAGAACAAUCACUUGUCAGGACCACCUCCCAUAAUCACAAGAGAUUCUAUAGGAAAAGAAGCAACAGACAUGGUUGGAUUGUUUGUUUUCUGUAUUCUUCUGCUAAAAGGCUACCCUUUUAAAGUCUCUUUUAUAUAUAAAGAUACAAAAAAAAAAAAAAAAAUCAUACUAAUAAAGAUUCUUUUUGGCUCCUCCAGAACUGGCCAGUUUUUCCUUAACUUUGCUUCUCCCACAUAAGACUAUAAGAAUAUUACAAUGAAAUAGUUGAUUAUCGUUGAACUUGCCAAUCUGUUGACUUGGUAAUUUGAAUUUGAUAAGCUCUGAAUUGUAAGUAACGAGGAACAAGAUGACAUGAUGGUAAAUAGAAAAUACAAGAUGUCCAUCAACAUAGCAAAGAAAUAUUUUUCAGCCGGACGACAUAUCAGGAUGUUCAUUACUAAAACAUGUUUGCUGAUGCUUUAUAAUGUACAAUUUACAAUAUAUCACAGGUUGUAAUAUACACUACUAGAUGAUUUUAUGGCCUGUUUAUCCUUAAUCGCUAUCAUGAACUAAUGAAAAUUUAUAAAAGUGGAUCACAUUUGCAGUGAUGCCGCUAUUUUUCCUGAAUUUCCCUAGUUGUGAAGAUUCCCUAGUUGUGAAGAUUGUCUAAAUCAUGUUAGAGUCGCUGCCAUCAGUGAAUGCAUUCAAUGGCUUACUGAAACUGGUAGAGAUACUAAAUUGCAAGAUGACAGAGUGUCCAUGCGUCAUUUUAAGGAUCAAGAUGUGUAGCUGUGACUUGUAUUUUAAAAUUGCAAGAUGUUUUACAAUGGUAGCAGAGGAGGGCUGGGGAUUUAUUGGGUCAGUUCGAAGCACACAAGUAGAAUUGGUUGUGGCAGAGCAAGAAGCUGAGCACGACCAUAAGAAUUUGAACUCUGAGGCUAAUUUGACUCUACUUGUACAAGUUAAUAUAUGAUGGCACAAGUUAAUAUAUGAUGGCAGCAAAGGAGUUUCUUACAUGCGCCAGUUUACAGUUCUUAGAAACAUCUUAUUAUGCUUAUUUGUACUAAACAGAUAUUAGUAGUCCACCAGAAACAAGGAGAUUUGAUAUAUCCCGGACUCUGAGGCCGGUGACAGUCUAUGAGAGGGCAUGUAAUCGAUGGAACAAGGAGGAUUCAGAUACAUUGGAUUCAUUAACAGAACUUCUUCAGAGCCGGAGUCACUUCCAGAUGCUCUCUUCUGGUAGAUAUCUAUUGGAGAAGUAAAAACAUCUCAUAAUCAUCAUUCAGCACUUGCUCUGAGUUUGUUGAUCAACCAUGCGAUGUUGAAGGCAGCUCUUAUCUUAUCUGCAAUCAAGUUAAUGAACCACCACCUCAGUUGUUAAGCAUCUUUCACCAUUUUACAUUUUACAACUCACAAUAAAAGAUUACAUGUGUAUUAAUCUGAUCAUCAUUUGUUUGAUCAAUAUAGAAGUUCGGCUCUGUUUACUUCUAUCCCUGGCUCUUCAUUUCUAGAACAUUGUUGAUACUUUUUAUUGAAUGGUUAAGAAUAUUCCAUAGAUUUUUAUAUUCAGUGCUAGAUGAUUUUAUGUCCUGUUUUCAUUCCAUUCAUGAACUAAUUAAAAAUUUGAAAGUGAUGCCCACCUUUCUGGACCUGCAUUCCAUGACCACAAACUCCAAUUCUGCCCAAAAAUUGCAGCUGUUUCGUAAUAUUUUUCUACGUGUUCUUUUGUUUGGACUUGUUUGCUGGACCAUGCAUAUUGUUUUGAUACAAACAUCUUUGUUGAUGUUAACACUCAUUGUUAGUAGCCCAUUCUUUACGGCAGACAUUGAAUUGGAUUUACUUGAAGAAAUGAAGGUUUAAGAAAGUUCAGAGCAAUUUGUUGAUUAUUUCCUUCCCUAGAAACUGCACUCCAGCAUCAAAGUACCUUUCAAAGACUCUACACAUAAUCUCUUGAUUAUCAAAGACUUGGUCUUGCAUAUACUGAUAUACACUGAAUAUAGGUUUCUUUCAUUUCCUUGAAAUUGCAUUUUUCGAAGUAACUCUCCAGACUCAUUCCCGUCACUUCUCAAAGUCUUAGUCCUCAUCAAUACAUUCACAUAAUAUCACACCAAUUUGCUCAUGCUCAGAUGGGCUUUUCUUACAAACCACAUAUGUUCACUUCUCAGAGUCUUAGUCCUCGUCAAUGUAUAGAGAUAAUAUCUCACCAUUUGCUAGUGCUACAAAUCAGUUUCUCCUACAACCACACAUAAUCGGAGAAAAGUCUGUCAAGUGUCAAGUGGACUUGAAAGACCCUUCUGCAUGGAUUAUUGUAUGUCAUGAAUGCCUUCUGAUAUCCCUGAAAGUGCAAGCAAGUUAUAAAAGUAGCUGGGCAGACUCUUUCUCAUCAAUACAUUCACAUUCAAAGCGGGCGUUGAUAUGCCUCCCUAAUUUUCUAAUGCCCUAGACGGAAUUCUAUUACAAUCCACAUAUGAUGGGUAGCGAUCAUCAAUUCAAAGAAGACACUAUCAGCAGCUUGCAGGAAAUGACCCCUCUGCAUGGAUUAUCGAAGAAAGAAACUUAUACCUAUAAAGCUGUAGAAAACCAAUGGUAAGCAUAACUGCAUAUAAGAUACAAAACUAAAUUUAAUACAAGACUCGUUCUGAGCAUUGGAAAAUAUGCUUUUAUUGCAGCCAAUGUAUUAGUGAAAAGAAUUAAAUUUAAAUUAAUUGUAGACUGCAAAUAUAAGAUUAGGAGAGUUUCUACAACCCACAAAUUAGUAGACAGACUAAUAUGAUUAGUUGAGACCAUCAAUCUGGAGAAACUGUUUCUACAAUGACCCAUCUGUAUGAAUUAUUGAAGAAAGAAACUUAUACCUACAAUGUAAAGGAAAUAAUCACGAGUAUAUUGCAUUUUUAAUCCAAAUUGUAUAUGAUUCUAUCUGUGCUACUGAUAGUAAAUAAUAAAUCUACAACGGGCCUUGCAGUUAAUCAAGGUAUUUAACUCUACCUUUCUACAUUGUUGAAUAGUUUGAAUAAAAUAAUUGUAAUAAAUUUUUUGCUGGAUGCUGUGUGAGUUUACCAGAGCUUAUCUUGGUGAGAAGUCUGAGUACAAGGCAAUGAGCAGGAAACAACAUAGGGAGUUUACAACUAGAAGUAUCUAUUCUCCCCUAGUCUUUUUGUGAACAUCAAGAGGCCAUUCAUUUUGCUCACAAACCAGUUAAAAAUGGCAGGACUACACAUAAUGAAUCACGCAGUCACUUUAUGUGAGAAAAGAAAAAUGUCAGGACAGCAGCUCAAACGUUUAAAAAACUUCAUUAAUUAUUUUCUUUUAUUGAAACCACACUCAUCCAUCAAAGUAGCUCUCAAAGACUAAUUUCCAUCACCUUUUGAUUCUCAAAGUCUUCUUCUUCGUCUUUUACUGCUCCUAAAGUUCUUCCAUUGCAAGCCACAUAUUAGUAGACAUACUACAUCAACUCUGUGGAAAGAAACAAUCUAUACUUGAUCUUGAUGUACAAUGUUAUGAUGUAAAUGUAUAAUAUCAAAAUUAGGAAUAGUAGUCACGCGCUAAUUAAUAACCCUCUGCAGGGGUUAUUAAAGAAAGCAACUUAUAGUUUAAGUUGCUGAACAUUUGUGUGUGCCAAAUUUAAUUUCACACAUCAUUACUAGAUUUACACAUGGUAUUAGACAUCAGUACUAGUAUAAGAUGUUAAUCAAGUUUUAUAAUUUCUUUUAUUUCAGAUAACAAGUUUUUUUUUUUGUGGAAUUAAUUAUUUAUAUCAUGCAUUUGAGCUUUAAAAUUAGCUCUACAUAAAAGUUGGUCUAUUGCAGUAGACACUAAAAUGAUUUCGCUCAAAGAAACAAUGAUGUAUAUGAAGAUUUUCAGAACUGAAUUUCUUUCUAUUUCUAAAAAUUGCAUUCAAGAACCGAAAGUAGCUCACAAAGACUCAUUACAUCAUCUUUCAAUUCUCAUUGUCUUGGUCUUUGUCUUCUACUGCUCAAAAUUCUAUUACAGCCCACAUAUCAGUAUCAUAUACCUAAUCAUAAAUAGUAUUUAAUAUUUAACACAAUUGAAGAUUUGUCUCAGAGACUUACUUCCAUCACCUUAUGGUUCUCAAAGUCUUCGUCUUCUAAUGCUCCAAAAGUUCUAUUAGUUCAGGCCACAUAUUAGUAAACAGACUACAAUUCAUCCAAAAUGACCCCUCUUAUUGGACACUUUGAACACCUCUAUCUGUAUAUGCAUUGGAGAAGAAUUAUCAGCUAGUUAAAAUAACCUCUUCGCAUCAACUCUAUCGAAAGAAGCAAUUCAUACCUAAAGUACAAUGUUUGGAUAAAAUCAGGAAUAGCAACUGCACGCUAAUUUUUUAGUUGAAGCAGGCUACCUUGGUGUAAUUCAGUGAACAUCCCCGUAAUUUCUUGACAGGCCACAAUUAAGGAAGUUCACAGAAUUAAAUUCCAGAAGUAGCUCCCUGAGACAGAUUUGCAUCAUCUUUCCAUCCUCAAAGUUCUUUACACUUAUAUUAUAUUUCAUGUUUUAUUGUAAUGAACAUAGCAGUUUCCUGUUCAGUAAUAUUCCAGGCUCAGGUUCUUCAUUCCUAGUCUCUGUUACAUGUUUGCCACUAAAACGUAUUGAACAGUUAUUAGUUUAUGAUUGUAUUCCAUCUUGAAAGGAGAUCUCAAAGACUCAUUCCCAUAAUCUUAAGAAUCUCAAGUCUUGAUGAACUUGGCCUUCAUCAUAUUUGUACUCUUGUAAUUCCAUAUUAAUGAAGUUUAAAUAUUUAUUUCAAAAAAAAAUGAAGUUUAAAUAUUAAAAUUUUUAAUUUUAGUAAAUUUGUAAAAAUAGUAAAAUUUGUCUUAUUUAUAAUAUUAAUAAAUCUCUUACUUUCUCGUUACUGUAUUCAACUUAAUAAUUCUUACAAACACUUGUAAGUGCAUCACAUAAGUUAUGUAAAUUCAGAAUAAAUUAUGUCCGAUUUCUUUAAGAGAGAUUGUUAUAUUGUUUUUACUUUAAAAAUUGAAUUAUCUUUUAUUUUUAAUAUAAUUUACAACUAAAAAAUAUUUAAUAUAUUUUCUUAUUUUUGUAAUAUGACUAAACAUAUCUUAAAUACACCUUUUUCCUAUAUAUAUAUAUAUAUACAUCUAUUAUAUUUUUUAUGAAAUAUAAUUACAAAUUUUGAUUAUUAAACCGAAAACGAAGUUAUACAAUUUUUUUAUUUCAAAGAUCAUCUAAUAUAUCAUGUAAUAUCUCAACAUGAUUCUAUAACAGAAUAAUAAUCAUUCAGAAUUAUUCUGUUGUAGAAUCAGUUUCGAAACUAUACUUUUUUUUAUCAAAUUUUAAGUGUUAAAUUACUUAAAAUAGAUAUAUUUUAUAGUAUUCUAUAUUAGAAUCACGUUUUAUAUGUAUUUUAUAGCAGAAUUUAUAAUAAAAUUGAUGAUUUAUAAUGCCGCACUAUGUAACUUCAUAUAAAGAGUCCCUUUCUGGAAUGUUGGCAUAUAUAUAUACUAGCUUAAAACCCGUGCAAUGCACGGGCGGUUAUGAUAUUUAUUAUUUUAUCGUAUAUAUUCCAGAUUUAACUAAUUUUAUUGAAAUUAAAAUUGUGAUAGAAUAAUGUGAUUAAAUAAAACAUUUAUUUAACGACUGAAAAAUUCUUAAUAGUUAAAUCCGUCAAAUAGCUAAUUUAAAAUUAAGUCAAAUAUAUAUUUUAAUAAAAAUGUUAAAAUAUAUUAUAUUUUUUAUAUGUUAUAAUUCAAGAAGACACAUAAACCUAGAUAUAAACAACCCAAUCAACCUUUUAAUAUUUUGUUAUUAAUAAUAUAGAACAAAUCCUUAAAAUAGAAUCAGAUAAGUAUAAAACAUAUUGUAAGCUAAAGGGAAGUGUACUGAUCCAUAACACUAACCUAAUUUAUUUAUUUUUAAACAGCACUAACCUAAUUUAUAAAUUAAGGAGGUCCAUGGAUCAAAUAUGAACCGGUUUAUAAAACUCGACCGACCAACUGAACUUUUCAGUUUAUGUUUUAAUAGUACAAUAAUAUAUAGUAUAGUAUAGAUUUGUAAUUUUAACUUUUAAAUUUAGAUCAGUAGAGCAUUUAAAGUAACGUUAAUAUAUUUUGAUCGACAAAUAUCGCCAUUUAUUUAAUAAUAUUGUUAUAUUUUUAUAUAUAUGUCGCCCGUGUUAAUUGUAGUAGAUCAAUUUUUUCAGUCAGUAAAUCUUAAAAAAAAAAUGUGUUUUAGUUAAAAAGGUAAUUACUAUUGCUCGAUGUUAUUUUAGAAAAUUGUGUUUUUUUAGUUAGAAAAUAUAAAAAAGAUAACAUAUUCUAGUUUAAAAGAAUAUUUAGUUAUAUAGAUAGGCCUGUAUUUCGGCCCAAAGUUAAAAAGAAUACUCCCUCCGUCCCCUCCAAUUCUUAUCGUUUGGAAUGGAGUGCUCGGCACGCAUUUUAAGACUCAUAUAAAGUAUAGUUCCAUAACUCAUUUUCAUAAUUCUCUUUUUCUGAAUAAAAAUUUAAACAUUACAUUUUUAUUUAAAAAAAGAAAAUUUUAAAAAUAAGUUAUGGAACUAUACUUUAUAUAAGCCUUAAAAUGCGUGCCGAGCACUCCAAUCCAAAUGAUAAGAAUUGGAAGAGACAGAGGGAGUAAUUAGUUAUGUCGAUAGACCCGUAUUCGGUCCAAUUACUUACAUACCAUAACUUUCAAUUUUCGAUUUUAAUAAUAUAGUAAACCUUAAAAAAGAUAAUGUAUUUUAGUUAAAAAGGUAAUAACUAUAUUGUUCGAUGUUAUUUUAUAAAAUUGAGUUUUUUAGUUAGAAAAUAUAAAAAAGAUAACAUAUUAUAGUUAAAAAGAAUAAUUAGUUAUAUAAAUAGGCCUUAUUUCGGCCUAAAGUUAAAAAUAAUAAUUGGUUAUAUAGAUAGGCCCGUAUUUCGGCCCAAAUUUUGACCGAUCAAACUUUCAAUGUUCGUAAUUACUGUUGCUCGAUGUUAUUUUAGAAAAUUGAGUUUUUUUAGUUAGAAACUUUAAAAAAGAUAACAUAUUCUGGUUUAAAAGAAUAAUUAGGUAUAUCGAUAGGCCUGUAUUUCGAUUUUCGGCCCAAAGUUAAUAAGAAUUAUUAGUUAUGUCGAUAGGCCCGUAUUCGGUCGAAUUACCGACAUACCAAACUUUCAAUUUUUUAUUUUAAUAGUAUAGUGAACCUUAAAAAAGAUAACGUAUUUUAGUUAAAAAGGUAAUAACUAUAUUGUUCGAUGUUAUUUUAGAAAAUUGAGUUUUUCUAGUUAAAAAAUAUAAAAAAGAUAACAUAUUAUAAUUAAAAAAAUAAUUAGUUAUAUAAAUAGGCCUUAUUUCAGCCCAAAGUUAAAAAUAAUAAUUAGUUAUAUAGAUAGUCCCGUAUUUCGGCCGAAAUAUCGACCGAUCAAACUUUCAAUGUUUCAGUUUUAAAAAUAUAGUAUAGCUUUCGGCCCAAAGUUAAAAGAAUAAUUAGUUCUACAGAUAAGCCCGUACUUCGGCCCAAGUACCGACCGACCGACCAAACUUUUAAUGUUUCGGCUUUAAUAGUACUAACUUAUAGCCCGUGCAAGGCAUGGGAGCUUUUUAGUAAUUUAUAAACUUUUUAAAUAUAUUUUAAAUUAUGUGAAAAUUUUUAAUUUACAAAUAAUAAAUUAAAAUUUUCAAUUAAAUAAAAUUUGAAAUUAUGAUUUGUUUGCAAUUCCGAACUUUUGUAAAAAUAUAUAAUUUUUAUAUGAUGUUGGUACAAUUUAAAAUUUUAUCUUAAAUUUUAGUUGAAUCUAAUACAAAAUAUUAGUUUCCAUGAUUUAUUAGUUAUGAAUAACUUAAGCUAACGUAUUCGUCUUUAAUAAUAAAAAUAUUUAAUAGCAUGAGGUAAUGCAUAUUUGCAUAUAAUUUUUCAUUUUUCUUUUUUAAUAUAUAUACUUGAAUAAAAAUAUUUAUUUUAAAAAUAUUUUUAUGUUAAAUUAUUAAUCUUUAUAUAUAAAAUAUAUUCCCUACGGGCUACGUCCCAUCAUAUUAUUUAGAGUUUUUUUUUUGGGAUGUACCAUCAAAUUCUUUACAUUUCAAAACUUACCAAAUAGGUCCCACCACUACACAACUUUUCCUACCUUUUCACACUACUUUUACUCCUUUUUCACAAUACCUUUACUCUACUAUCUUCUUUUUAUACAUUAAAAAUUAAUAGGUCCCACUACUUACCCAUUUUUCUUUUUAUUUUCCACUACUUUGUACAUAUAUCUUCACCUCCGUGCCCAAACCAAACAUAAAGAUUGGCUGGGACGGAAGGAGUAUUCAUUAAUAAUUUGAAUAACAUGCAUGCAAAUAGAAGGCAUAACAUGUCUGGAUUAGGAAAAUUUGUUAAAAAUAUGCGUUAUAUUUUUCACACUUGUUUCUAAUUUGGAUAAAAAUAUUUUUGUGAUCGUGCAAUUUGUAUGAUUCUACAAAUAAAAAUGGGAAUAUUUAUUUUAGAUUAAAAUAACAUAAACACGUGAAAGAAAUAAUUUGUUUUGGAUUCAGAAAAGAAGAUAUCAGUUGCCUAGCUGCCUUAUAAGUUCUAAUCUAACAGUGCUUAUUUGAUCAAUAUACGAUCUAACGGAUGAUAAGCUUUUGGACCAGAGGACCAUGCGACCAAAUUAUCUCCCUUACGCUUAUUAUAUAAUACUAGCUUAUAGCCCGUGCAAGGCACGGGAGCUUUUUAAUUAUUUAUAAAUUUUUUAAAUAUAUUUUAAAUGGUGUGAAAAAAUUAAUUUAUAAAUAAUAAAUUAAAAUUGUACAUAUCAUGCCAAAGUAUUAAAUUCUUUCUAUCAAAUUUUAAACCAACUCCUAUUAGAUUAUAUUUAUAAAAGUUCUAAUCUAACAGUGCUUAUUUGAUCAAUAUACGAUCUAACGGAUGAUAAGCUUUUGGACCAGAGGACCAUGCGACCAAAUUAUCUCCCUUACGCUUAUUAUAUAAUAUAGCUUAUAGCCCGUGCAAGGCACGGGUGCUUUUUAAUUAUUUAUAAACUUUUUAAAUAUAUUUUAAAUGGUGUGAAAAAAUUAAUUUAUAAAUAAUACAUUAAAAUUGUAUUCUCAAAAUGGUGUGAAAAAAUUUAAUUUAUAAAUGUUAAAUUAAAAUUGUAUGUAUCAAUGCCAAAGUAUUAAAUUCUUUCUAAAUUUUAAAUUAUUUUAAGUAGUGUGACGCCAACUCCUAUUAGAUUAUAUUUAUAAAUGUAUUUUAUAUUAGAAUUAUUAUAAUGUGAUUUAAAUAUUUUUCUAAAAAUUUUUAUGGUUCGAGAUUAAAAUUGAUAAACACAAUUUGUUUUGAAUUAAGAAGAUGAAUCAUAAACAUGCAAUAAGAUGGUAGAAUUUGCUUUGGAUUAAAAAAUUUUUUUUGUAUUUGUUCCUCACAUAAAUCGGGCUUAUUAAUUUUGAAAUAUAUUAGGUAAAAAUAAUUUUGUGACUGUGCGAUUUAUAUGAUUCUACAAAUAAAAUUGGUAGAAAAUAUUUAUUUUGGAUCAAAAAAAAUCAUAAACACGGGAAAUACUUAAUUUGUUUUGGAUUCAGAAAAGGAUUUAUAAACAUGCAAGUAGAUAUCAGUUGUGUUAUGGAACAAAAGUUAAUUUUGUUCUAAUCCAACGGUGCUUAUUUGUUCAAUAUACGAUCCGAUGGAUAAAAAUAAUCUUGUGACGGUGUGAUUUAUACGAUUCCACAAUUAAAAUUUGUAGGAAAUAUUUAUUUUGAAUUAAAAAAAAACAAAAACACAUGAAAGACAGAAUUUGUUUUGAAUUCAGAAAAAGAAUUAUAAACAUGCAAGUAGAUGUCAGUUUCCUUAUAGAACAGAAUUUAAUUUUGUUCUAAUCUAACGGUGCUUAUUUGUUCAAUAUACGAUCCAACGGCUUUUGGACCACAGGACCUUGCGACCAAAUUAUCUCCCUUACGCUUAUUAUAUAUAAGUAUAUAAUAAGUAUAUAAUAGUAUAGAUAUGCUAGUCUUAAAUAUAUUUUUUUCCUAUAUAUAUGCUAGCCUCUUGAGACGUGAUCAUCCCAAACAAAAAAAUUUAACGGAAAAAGAAAAUGAGGAAUUCCAUCCUCUGUUUUUCCACCAUCUGUUUGUUGCUCAUCUUCCUGCAGUUGCAGCACAACCUAGUGGCUUGUUCAUUAAGCCCCCACUUGCAGAAACUUGCCUUGUUCCAUUUUAACCAAACCUUAACAAUCAGUACUACUAGCUGGGAUUGCGAAUACGUUUCCUACGAAGAGAAUGCAGUGUAUGAAAUUCCUUCACGGGCAAAGACAAAGAAUUGGAGCAUGAGUUCUGAUCACUGCACAUGGGAUGGAGUUAGCUGCGACGACAAGACAGGGGACGUUAUCGGACUGGAUUUAAGUUGCAGUCAGCUGGAAGGAGCCAUUCUUCCUAACAGCGCUCUCUUCCAGCUCUCUCAUCUCCGCUUCCUCAAUCUUUCUCAAAACGACUUUUACCUCGCCAGUCAGUUCCCUCAGGAAUUUGGUUUCUUUGCAAAAGGUUUGACGCAUCUCAACCUCUCUAAUACUGGAUUAUCAGGGAGAGUUCCCUCGGGAAUCUCUCAUUUGUAUAAACUUGUCUCACUUGAUCUCAGUGACAACUCAGUCUCACUUGAUCUCAGUCAGAACUAUGAGGCUAAACUUGAAGAAGAAGUGUUUAAAUCAGUGUUGCAGAAUUUAACUCAUCUUGAAGUGCUUAAUCUUAAUGGAGUUAAGAUCUCCUCUGUUUUGCCCCUGAAUAUCUCUACUUCUUUAAGAGUUCUUCAAUUGAGGUAUACUUAUAUACACGGAGUAGUACCCCAAGAGGUUUUCCACCUUCCCAACUUGGAAUUACUUGAUUUAUCACUUAAUGACGACCUGAGAGCAACAUUACCCAAAGUUAAGUGGGGAAGUAAAGUUACUCUCCAACACCUUCAUCUUUCAUACAUCAACAUAGAUGGAGGUAUACCUGACUCAAUAGGCUUUUUGGAGUCAUUAGUCAGUUUGGAUUUGAGCAGCUGUAAUUUGUCUGGGCCUAUACCAAGAUCCAUUGGGCACCUCGUUCAACUUACUCGCUUGGACCUCUCUCAAAAUAUUCUCAAUGGCCCAGUUCCAACAUUUUUUACAGACCUUACAGACUUAAGAUAUAUCUCCCUUUGGCAAAACAAUUUCACUGGAUCCCUACCUCGUUCGUUGUUUCACCAUCCAUCCUUAGAGUCCUUGUCUCUGGAUAAUAAUGCAUUCACGGGUCAACUACAUGAAUUUGAUUCUUCUCGCUCACGGCUGCAAUCUUUUUCUUGUUCCAACAAUUCACUCUAUGGAUCCAUUCCACAUUCUUUUUCUCAGCUUGUGAAUCUCACUGUCCUAGAUUUGUCAUCAAACAAUUUCAGCGGGGUUUUGGAUUUGGAAAUGUUUUCAGGCCUCGAAUCUCUAAAACGUCUUCAUCUUUCUGAUAACAGUCUUUCAGUGAGAAGUACAAUUAUGGCCACUCUCCCUCCUAAUCUUUACUCCUUGGGCUUGUCAUCUUGCAACAUGAAAGAGUUCCCCCACUUUUCAAGAGAUGCAAACAUCUCCCUGAAUCUUAUAGACCUAUCAAACAAUAAAAUUGAAGGGGAAAUUCCACACUGGAUUGGGUCGGUGGGGGAUUUCUAUGGAAUCCCUUAUCUGAAUCUAUCUCACAACAAACUAAUAGGCGGUCUUGAGCAACUGCCUUGGGGUUAUAUUCAAUAUCUUGAUCUCCAAGACAACAAGCUGAAUGGCUCCUUGCCCACCUUGAUGUGUAAUUCCAGCUCUCUUGAGAUUCUAAAUCUCUCUCACAACAAUUUGAGUGGUGUACUCCCCAUUUGUCAUACAAAUUUGACUCAGCUUUCGGUGUUGGAUCUGCGGAGGAAUAAAAUUCAAGGAAUCAUUCCAGCAACCUUGUCAAAUUUCCGUUAUCUGGAAACUAUUAAUUUGAAUGGAAACCGCUUACAAGGAAGCAUUCCUUCUUCUUUUGCUGAAUUAGAUUCUUUAGCCGUCCUUGAUCUUGGAAAUAAUCAGAUAAAUGAUACAUUCCCCCUGUGUUUGGAAGCUCUUCCAAAACUCCAAGUUCUUGUUCUCAAAUCAAACAAGUUUCAUGGUAUAAUAAACCAGAGUUCUGAGACAAAACACCCAUUUCCUAGCUUAAGAAUCAUUGAUCUUUCGUACAAUGAGUUUUCAGGUGCACUGCCAGAAAAAUAUUUUAGAAACUUCAAGGCUAUGAUGAAUGCGGAAGUGAAUAAGAUAAAUCGUAGCUAUAUGGAGCAUCGGUAUUACAGUGAUUCCACAGCUCUGGUGAUUAAAGGCAUGGAUAUUGAUUUACAUAGAAUUUUGACUGUGUUCACAACUAUUGAUGUAUCAAAGAACAAUUUUGAUGGGGGGAUAGCUGAAUACUUUGGAAAUCUAGUAUCACUCAGAUUUCUUAAUCUUUCUCACAAUUAUCUCACAGGCCACAUACCAUGCUCGAUUGGAAAAUUGACUGUGCUGGAGUCACUAGACCUCUCAUCCAACCAACUUGAAGGAGAAAUACCUCAGCAGCUCACUAGUGUAUAUUCACUUGCAGUUCUAAAUCUGUCUUGCAACCAACUUAGAGGACGUAUUCCAGAAGGGUGGCAAUUCGAUACGUUUGAAAACAGCAGCUACGCUGGUAACUUUGGGCUGUGCGGACAUCCCUUGUCGAAAAAGUGUGAAUCUUAUGUUAGGACACAAGAAGAAGAUGACGAAGAUGAGGAUGAAUGUCACUUUUUCUGUGGUUUUACUUGGGAAGCGGUGGUGAUUGGAUAUGGGUGUGGAGUGGUGCCUGCAUUUAUCACUGGCUACCUGAUGUUGCUGGCACGGAAACCAAAAUGGUUUGCUGGAAUCAUUGGCAGGGAAUUGGGGCUCAAGAUCAGGAGGAUGGAGAUUAGAAUGCGAUACUAAAGGUUUGCUGUAAUCUGUAUCCCAUUCCCAGGUCUUGAAAAUUCUGUAAUAAUAUAUAGUAAUAUCUGCUCUCAUAUAAUUCUAUAUUUGCAGAUUCAGAUGGGACAAGCAGGAUCAGAUGCAUUGGAAUCAACCACUAGUACUUCAGCUGUUUUGUCAUUCUAAAUUUUACAUUUUACAAUAAAAGUCAAAAGAUACAAGUUAUGUAGUAUUGUUUUGUUCCAGCCUCAGGCUCUUCAUUUCUAAAACAUGUUUGCGGAUGCUUUACAAUGUACAAUUUACAAUAUAUCAAAGUUUUUAAUAUACACUACCAGAACUGGGUUACAUUGCAGUGUUGUCGCCAUUUUUCUGAAUUUCACUAGUUGGGAAGACUGUAUAAAUUAUGUUAGAGUCGCUGCUAUCAGUGAUCGCGUUCAACAACUUAUCUCAAACUGGUAAGAUUUACUAAAUUUUUAAUUUCACAAGCUGUUGAUAGAAUAGAAGAUGCCUCAGUUUAAGGAUCGAGAAUGUAUUAAUGAACUGUCCCAGCCCUGAGAAAUUCUCUUUGAUGGGGCUGCAGUUUCAAUAAAUCGCCUCUUGUACUCAGCCAUCAUACAGUGAACCACCGUCCGAUGGUCGAAAUUGGCGAAGCAUGAUGGCUUUAAAUCAGCCCAUAACCUGAUGGGGUGGCAUUUCUGUUCCCCAUUAGUACCAAUGCAGGGUGUCCCCUUCCAAAGCUACUCUGCAACAAUUUCCAACAUCUCGUAUUCACUUAACCCGUUCAGUAGACAACAAGGUUAGGAGCAAGAAUGAGUCGGUGUCUGGACAUGAGAUUAGGAAUACUAUUACCUCUGACUUCUGAGGCCCGUGACAGAUCGAAGAGGCAUGAAAGUUGGGGACAGGGGACGGCUGGUGCAUUGGAAUGAAAGUAAAAAACUUUUUCAGAGCCUGAUGCUCUCAAGGAUGCAGUCUAAUGAACAAGCGUAAUGAUGUCAUGUUAACUGUCAACCACCUAGUCAAAAUUACUUGAAAUGAUGAAAUUUAUGACAGUAAAUUUAUGAUGCUCUGAGUUUGUUGAUCAACCAAGCUAUGUUGUAGGCAGCUCUUAUCUGAUCUGCAAUCAAGUUAAUGAACCACUACCUCAGUUCAACAUUUUACAUUUUACAGCUCAGAAUAAAAGAUUACAUGUGUAUUAAUCUGAUCAUCAUUUGUUUGAUCAAUUUAGAAGUUCGGCUUUGUUUACUUCUAUCCCGGGCUCUUCAUUUCUAGAGCAUAUUUGUUGAUACUUUUUAUUGAACGGUUAAGAAUAUACCAUAGAUUUUUAUAUUCGGCGUAGAUGAUUUUAUGUCCUGAUUUCAUUCCAUUCAUGAACUAAUUAAAAAUUUGAAAGUGGGUCAUAUCUGGCAGUGAUGCCAGCCCUUCCUGACCUGCAUUUCAUGACCACAAACUCCAAUUCUGCCCAAAAAUUGCAGCUGUUUCGUAAUAUUUUUCUACGUGCUCUUUUGUUUGGACUUGUUUGCUGGACCAUGCAUAUGUUUUGAUACAUCUUUGUUGAUGUUAACACUCUUGUGUCAGUUACUGGACUCAUUGUUAGUAGCCCAUUCUUUACGGCAGACAUUGAAUUGGAUUUACUUGAAGAAAUGAAGGAUUAAGAAAGUUCAGAACAAUUUGUUGAUUAUUUCCUUCCCUAGAAACUGCACUCCAGCAUCAAAGUACCUUUCAAAGACUCCAGACAUCAUCUCUUGAUUAUCAAAGACUUGGUCUUGCAUAUACUGAUAUACCGUGAAUAUAGGUUUCUUUCAUUUCCUUGAAAUUGCAUUUUUUGAAGUAGCUUUCCAGACUCAUUCCCGUCACUUCUCAAAGUCUUAUUCCCCAUCAAUACAUACACAUAAUAUCACACCAAUUUGCUCAUGCUCAGAUGGGCUUUUCUUACAAACCACACAUGUUCACUUCUCAUAGUCUUAGUCCUCGUUAAUAUAUACAGAUAAUAUCCCACCAAUUUGCUGGUGCUACAAAUGGGCUUCUCCUACAAGUCUACAACUACACAUAAUCGGAGAAAAGUCUGUCAAAUGGAUCUUGAAAGACCCUUCUGCAUUGAUUAUCAAAGUAUAUUAUCUGUUAACAUAAAUGUAUUUUAUCAAAGUACUCUCUAAAUAAAAACUAGUAAUAGCAGUUACACAGUAAAAAUUUUUCCUCAAACAAUUACCACCUCAAAUGAGAUAGGCAACCUUAGAUUCUCCAAAAGUGCUUAUAUUGCAACCCUUGUGUAAUGACUAAUAACAGUCAUGAUUAGUAGACAGACCAUAAUUGCGAUGGUUCGAACUUUUUUACUUGAGCUGGAGAGAAGACUUUGAACUGCAGUGUUAGCUAGGAGUUUUUGCACCGUUCCUUUCCCUGUCUUGAAAUUGCAUUUCAGCUCCAAAAGUAGAUUUCAGAGACUGAUUCAUGCCAUCUUUUAAUUUUCAAUGGCAUAGUCGCGAUGACACUCUCACUUCUCACAUUGGAAAACUUUUACCAACACAAUGAAAUUUAUAAGAGUAAAAUGCAAAGCGGUGGUUAAAUUUAUAAGAGUUCUAUCGAAGUCUAGUUUACCUAAAUAACUGCAAAAUGGUUAGGGUUGUUCACGAACCGAGCCGAGCCGAGUUUUGACCGAACCGAGCCAAGCUUUAAUUUUUUUUCUGACGAGCCGAGCCGGGCCGAGCUUUUUUAUCGAACAAAAUUUGUGUUCAAGCUCGGCUCGUUAACUAACGAGCCGAACACGAGCUUGUUCGCGAACAAAUACAAGCCGAACCGAGUAGAAUCGAGUCGAGCCGAGCCAGAAAAAAAAUAAGAACAAACCGCUAGUUGACUCUUAAAAUAGCUAACCAAAUAAUUUUAUUUUUUUUUAAACUUUGUUUAUAUCACUAAAAUGUAUAUAUGUUAACAUCCAUACGGUUGGAUCGGUAAGAAAUAUUUUUUAAAAUAUUGAAACACUAAAUUAGGAUUAAACACUAGUUAGCAGUACUAUUUAACCUUCUACUUGACUGUUAAAAUAGCAAACCAUAUAAAAUUAUUAUUUUCCGAAAUUUUGGUUACAUCACUGAAAUAUAUAUAUAUUAAUUAUAUGUUGAAUUCUGAGUUCAAUAACAUAUAUAAAUUAUAAAAAAAACCCCGAAAAUAUUACAUUUUUUCGAGCUUUAACGAGCCGAGCUCGAGCCGAGCGAGCUCGAGUCGAGCUCGAGCCGAGCUCGAGCCGAACAUACUAAAAGCUCGGCUCGAGCUCGUUUACUUAACGAACAAUUUUUUGUGUUCGUCCUCGAGCUCGUUAACUUAACGAGCCGAGCCGAACGAGCUCUUAACGAGCCGAGCUCGAGCUUGUUCGCGAACAGCUCGGUUCGUUAAGCAGCCCUAAAAAUGGUGAAACAAACUAGGGCUUAGAAAAUGGUACAAUUUGCGGUUUUGUAUCUAUUGGGCAUCUAUUUUGGUGUGCUAGUCAACUUGUAUGGUUCUUAAAGUUUACAACUUGAAACAGUUAAUAUCAAAUGUCAAAGUGAAAAUAUGUGUAGUUUUAACUUCACAAUAUUUUCUUGGUGCGGGCUAUGUAAGUUAUCUUUUACAUGGUGAAUCAAGUUAUGAUACUCAGAAUCAAUUAUGUUUCACUUUCGUAUUUUCCACCUGGUCGUAAGAUUUGUAGUUUUCCUUCGCUAUUGUAAAGGUUGUGUUCUAUUAAGGGUGAUAUAUGCGCACCCUAAAUUAAUUUAUGCACACUUUACCUUCUGUUUCAUAUCAAAUUACCCUUGUCUUUUAUCAUUUCAACCAAAUAUUUUAUUAAUUCAAAGGGGUAAUUUAGUACAAACUAGAUGAAAGGUGUGCAUAAAUAAAUUUAGGGUGUGCAUAAAUCAGCACCCAAUGUAUUUAGUGAUUCCACUGAUGAUAAUGUUAAGCAAUUAACAGGUAUUAAAAUGCUUUCAUUAUAAUGCAACUUUAUACUCCCUUUAUCCCAUUUUAACUGAGGUAAAAAAAACAAUAUCUACACCCAUUAAAAAAAAUUCAAUUUUUAUAUCAAAUAAAAGUUUAGAUUCUAAAAUUUUAAUUGAUGAUAUAAAUUUUAUAAACAAUAAUUAUGUUUAUAUGUGAUUUUCUUAACAUUUCAAAAUACAUGUAAAAAGGUCAAAAGUAGUUAAAAUGGGACGGAGGGAGUAUAUUUUUAUUCAAACUCGAGUCUCCCGUGAGUGGAGCUCUUAAUAUCAUGCGAAGUUAAUAUUCUCCUAAAAUCUCAAAAUGUUAGAUAGAAUGACUUAUAAAAAAAUUGAAGAAAAGUGGAGUUUUAUUAUAAGUUUUAUCCGUGUUACAUACUUACAUUGAAUAUCUGGUAGUAACGCAAAAAAUUUGGUCUCCUCUAUGUAUUUUUGCUGGCUUGGUCGAAUCAGUUGGAUUGCUGGUAUUUGAAUAAUCUAAUUUUUUCAGAAAUAAGAAUUUAUUUCUUGAGAAAAGUACAUAAAACUACUAUACUUUUUUGGUCUCCUCUAUGUAUUGUUUUAUUUUAUAAGUCGUUUAAGGUAUUUUCACACAUAUUAAAAAACUUCAUUGUUGCAUAAAAAAGUAUUUAUUAGUCAUUUCUUUUUCAUUAUUAUCCUCAUUUAAUGUCUCUUUUCUCUCUUUUUCUAUUGACUCAUAAUAUUAAAUAAGGGUGAUAAAAGUCAUUAGAUAAUUUAAAUUAUUCUUGAAAAAAAAAAAAGAACGACCUAUAUUUAUGAAUAAUAAUAUUUUCUAAAAUGAACUAUAAAAAAACAGAUGGAGUACUGUAUAUCAAGUGGAGAAGCAAGACUAAAGUGCAGUACUCCUAAGCCCACAUUGUACGGCGGUAGUACAUUUGAUUUUAUUCGGGGAAAACCAUGUUUAUGGAUUAUCUCAUCUGAAAGACCCUAUCCAUCAUCUUCCGAUUCUCAGAGUCUUGGCCUUCCAUUCCAUGCACUGCUCUGCACGUGCUUCUGUUUGAGAUCAAAAUCACCUGCCUUAAAAAAUUUGUUUCUUUUGUAGUCUAAUCUCUGUCCCAAUCAAAUAUAUACCUUAACUGUGCACGUAUUUUGAGAUUUUAAUAAAAUUUUGUUGUAAAAUACUUUUUAAAAUUUUUUUUUUUGAAUAAAAAUUUAAACCUCAAAUUUUUAUUCAGUUAAGGAAAAUUUUAAAUAAUGUUUUGUAAUUAUACUUUAACGAAGCCUUAAAAAAUAUACCAAAAAACAGCGUAUACAAUUCAUCAGACGAGCAACCGCCAACAAGAAACACCACCGACAAUAAUAAACAAGAUUAGAAUGCAUAAUAUUCUGCAUUGGUCGAUAACUAUCAUUAUUAAUUUCUUCCUGCUGCACCACCGACAAUAAUAAACAAGAUUAGAAUGCAUAAUAUUCUGCAUUGAUCGAUAACUAUCAUUAUUAAUUUCUUCCUGCUGAGAAUUGAAACCACGCCCUCUGGCAAUUCCAAAAUGUUCCCUUUUAUAUUUAGCAAAAAAUAAUGAAUGGUGCUCCCAUUUUUUGACUAACCCAAAAACUCGAUGAUGGGCAAAAAUUGCACUAAUAUUAGAAUGAUGGUGUUUAGACAAGUUCUUCAUUUCAAAUUUUAAAUAUUGAAAUAAUUAGAAAUAUAAUAUAUAACUAUAUGACAAACACUCUAAUUCAGCAAGAAUCUUAUUUUUUGUAUCAAUUUUUCAAUAAUUUCAGGUGAAUGGUAAUUUAAUAUAUAAUCAAAUUUUAAAUAUUGUAUAGUUUUUGUUUUAUAUUUUAAUAAAUUUCAUAAUAGUGAGGAUAUGAGUACAUAUAUACAUCAACAGAAGGGUCGUUUGGGUAAACUUUAAAAAAGUGACUUCUUUCUUCAAAUAAAAAUGUGCACUAUAUUCCGUCAAAAAAAAUGUGCAGCAUUAGUAAGAGGUAAGUCUAGACUUAAAAGUGAUUAAAAUUUUUUAAGGAAAAGUAGAAGUUCUGAAAAUAAAAGUUAGAAAUUUUGGCUUCUUACAGGUGUUUCUGACUUUUUACAAAAUUAUAAGCCGACUUUCUUAGAAAAAGAAGGCGGAAGCUGGGGCAGCCAAACAAACACAUGAUAUGACUUGAUAUACAAAAAAAUUACAUUUAAAUUACGUUUAUAACACAAAUAAUCUCAAUUUAAAAAUGAUGAACAAAGAGAUAUGAGAUAUAUUGAAAAAUAAUUGAAAGCAACCCGUGUUUUGCACGGGUUAAAAAGCUAGUUCUAAUUAAAGGGAAAAAAGCCAUCGACUAAAAUUGAACACGGAUGGGAAUUAUAAGAAGCAUAAGCAAACAAACUUUUCUCUACAAUAAAAGGUGAUGGGUUGAAGUCAAGAAAACACCGAUUCAUCUUUGUACAAAGUUAAAAAUACUAACGGCUCUUUGCUUAUAGCACUACAAGAAAACUCAUUUUAAUGACAGAAAUUCUGUUAACAUGAUAAGGAUUUUCGUUGGUAAAUCACCGCCAAGGGAAUGAUAAUGAAAAUAAUUGGUUGGCAUAUAGUUGAUCGGGAAGUUCAUGCUAACGGAACAAAUUCGUUGCUAAAUUGGUUUCUUUUGAUAAAAGAUGAUGGGUUGAAGUCAAGAAAACAAACACAACACUUUUACAGAAAGUUAAAAAUACUAACCGCUCUGUGCUUAAAGAGUGGCAUAAGUAAGCAGUUCUCCGUGUGCUAGAAAUUCCUUCAUUUCUUGCUCUUCUAAGCCAACAACAGCUCUAAUACCAUCAUUCGCGGUAUCCAUCAGAGUGAUGACAUCAACCAUCGGAGUGUCCACAAGCACAGCUUUAACCGGCUUUCCCCACCCGAAAUCCAUGAUAUCAUAUAGCGGGAAAUUACACAUGCUUGUAAUAACGUAGAACCUGUACUUGUGUUUUGUGAACUCAAGAAACUCAGUCUCCAUUUCGUGUCCUUCCAUACUCUUGAUUCCUUUUAGCUGUUCCCUCUCUUUCCUCAUUCGUGCUACCAACGUUCUGUACUUUUUGUCCGCCUCUGUGGUCGCUACAAUGUGGUUUAGAAUCUGGAAAUUCCCCACAGUUGUUUCUUGCAGUGGCGGAUCAAUCAUAUGCCUCACAUUGACAGCCCGCAUUAAAACGGAUCCAUUAUGCACUCCAGCAUUAGUCCUAUCUGCCACGCUUACAAGACAUCUGUAAAGGAGUGCAGUCAGAAGCUCGUUGCGGGUGUAUUUUUGAUCUUCCACUACUCCAUCCAGCUUAUCCUCGUUAUUCACCACAAUCUUCAGUUCUGCUAGCUUUGUGUUGGGAAACACUAAUUCCUUCGUCGUCCAAUUCUUAUCUGGAAAUAUGAUGGUUUCGAUGGCAUUAAUAUCAUAGGAUAGAGGCAGCAGAGCAUUCACCAGAACGGGACAGAGAUGUAACAGUUUUCGGUGAUCACCAGAAUGGAGUGACAGAGUGGCCCAAUACCUUAAAAGUGUGCAGGUAGUCAGAGCAUCACCCAGAAGGUGAGAAAGGCAAAAAAUUGCUGACGAAAAAAUGUACAAACUAGUAAAAAAUGAAAAUCACUUCUGGUAGUAAAAAAAGUCUAAACUAGAACCUAGUUCAGCCCAAUAUUUUAGCAUUAGUUUUAACUGCAAAAAUCACUAAUUUGUACAUUAUUAAUGAUUAAUUUUUAAAUAGAAAUAUCACAAAUAAAUAAAUAAAUAAAUAUAAUUAAAAAAUUAAAAAAAUCAUCAAUUUUCACCAAAAAGUCGUAUUUUCCCAACUAGUUCUACCAUGGAACCAUAUAUAUUUGUCCAAAGUGAUUUACUGUUCAAUAUCAAGUCUAAAAAAAUACACAUAAAACACUACCUUAAAAGUGUGCAGGUAGUAAGAGCAUCCCCAAGAAGGUGAGAAAUGCUAACUGCUACAGCCAUCCCUCCACAAUCGAAACGGUUGAGUUGCACAUACAUUAUAUUACCCGAAUGCUUCUCAGAAAACUGAUUCCGAAUUGUGCAAGGUGGAAACAGAUGGCCUAAUCCGUCUUCUUCCUUGACUGCAGCUCUAUCCUGAACCUCCGACAUAUUGCAUCCGAUUUGAGCCUCGAUAAAUUGAACGCCUUCAUCGUUACAAUCGACGUACGAUCCAGAGCAUAUCCUUCCUGCAAAUGGAUAGUACUUGGACAGUGUCUCCGACAAAGACUUCUUCAGUAGAUCUGAUGCAUUAUCAGGGACCCGUUCACGAAUGGGAUCAGAGUUGUUUUUGGGAUAGAAAAAAAUCAGUGGAAUAUAAAAAUUUGGAACCAUGCGAUCAUGUAAAGGAAUAUUGUAUCGUUUGAGGUUCGAGGGAGUUGGAGAAGCUGGUUUAAUGCUGCAGGAAGAUCUUGAGAUUACAUGCAGCUGCCUUCUAAAUACUAAUGACAACCUCAUCAAUCCUUUAAACGUCAUUUUUAACUUGCCAAACCAAACUUUGAUGUGUAUAUCAGAUAUGAGCUGGUUUAAUUGGGGUAUUUAUACAGAUUUAUAAGAGAAGAUUACAGCCCAUGCCAAAAGACUUGGCGGUUGAAGCUGGUGAGAUGAUAUAACUCCUGAUUAACCGGAAAUCAGGGAUUAAUCGUAAGGAUUAAUCAGAGUGAAAAUCGGUUUUAUUUUGAAUAUUAAAAUAUUAUUUUUAAUAUUUAUUUAUUACUAUAUUAAUUAUUUAAUAAUAAAUAUAUUUAAUAUAUCAUAAAUUUUAUAAUUGUUCAUAUUUAAAGUAAAUAAGUAGUAUUCAAUUUUAAUAAUUUAUUAUAUAUAUAUACUUCGCUUGAGAAAAAUUUAUACGGAUUAAUCGAAUUUUAAAAAUCGAAUCAAUCGGCCAUCUUGCAGGAGAUUAAUUGGGAAUUCAUCGAUAAAAUCAAUAAUUUUUAAAACACUGCCGGCAACUGUAAGUAUAAAAAAUAGGAAUAAACAAAGAGCACUGGGAACCACAUGCAAGUGAUUGUUUACUGCUGGUUCUACCGGUCUCUGCCAAAAACUCUGAUAAAUACCAGACAAAACUACCAGUCUCCCUUGCAUAAAAUAUCUAAGCUACAUAGGAAUCUUUUUAUGUCUAUGCUACAAGACAUUUUUUAUGACUUGGAUCCCAUUUCAUUUGUGGCAUUGCAGCAGUUCAUUCUUUAUUUCCUGAAUUUUCUCUAUAAUCUUUACCUCAUGCCUCUUAAUUUUUAUUCAAGAUAAUUUUUUUUGCAAAUUACUGUGGUUCUGCUUUUCUUAUCUUUUCUUCUUUUGGCUUUGCUGGUACUUUUCCUUUGCCAGUUUAAUUUUACCUUCAACUUUGAGAAAUAAAUGUAUUUAGUGAUUUCACUGAUGAUAAUGUUAAGCAAUAGGGUUCAAAAUGCUUUCAUUAUAAUGCUACUUUAUUUAUUUAUAUUCAAACUCGAGUCUCCAGCAAGGGGAGCUCUUAAUACCAUGUGAAGUUAAUAUUCUCCUAAAAUCUCAAUAUGUUAGAAAGAGUAAUUUUUUAUUAAAAAAAUUGAAGAAAAGUAGAGUUUUAUUAUAAAUUUUAUACGUGUUACAUUGAAUAUUUAAAAGUAAAGCAAAAAAUUUGGUCUCCGCUAUGUAUAUUUGCUGGCUUCGUCGAAUCAGUUGGAUCGCUGGUAUUGGUGAGAGCGUGAGACAUUAAAGGGAGAUGGGCUGAUCAGAUCAGCUUGGUUGAUAAUGUCUAAAUCCAAUUCCUUAACAAGGAAUUGAUUUUACUCAUGAAAAAAGAGUGAUUAAAAAAAAAGUUUGCAGAAAGUCAAGACUCAAACCCCAUUCUUAUCAAGUCUUCCACUACUCUAUGCACAAUUCAAAAUACACAAAGACCAACCAAAAAGUUCUUGGAAGUAAUCAAAUAAAUGAUACUCUCCAAGUUCUUGUUCUCAAAUCAAACAAGUUUUAUGGUCUUAUAAACACGAGUUCCAAGAUUGUACACCCAUUUCCUAGCUUGACUGCUUGAGAAUCAUUGAUCUUUCGUACAAUGAGUUUUCAGGUGCACUGCCAGAAGAAUAUUUCAGAAACUUUAAGGCUAUGAUGAAUGCGGAAGUGAAUAAGAUAUAUCGUAGCUAUAUGGAGCAAGAUUAUUACACUGAUUCCACAGCUCUAGUGAUUAAAGGCAUGGAAAUUAAUUUAAAAAGAAUAUUGACUGUGUUCACAACUAUUGAUGUAUCAAAAAACAAUUUUGAUGGGGAGAUAGCUGAAUACUUUGGAAAUCUGGUAUCACUCAGAUUUCUUAAUCUUUCUCACAAUUAUCUCACAGGCCAUAUACCACGCUCGAUUGGAAAAUUGACUGUGCUGGAGUCACUAGGCCUCUCAUCCAACCAACUUGAAGGAGAAAUUCCUCAGCAGCUCACUAGUGUAUAUUCACUUGCAGUUCUCAAUCUGUCUUGCAACCAACUUAGAGGACGUAUUCCAGAAGGGUGGCAAUUCGAUACGUUUGAAAACAGCAGCUACGCUGGUAACUUUGGGCUGUGCGGACAUCCCUUGUCGAACAAGUGUGAAUCUUAUGUUAGGACACAAAAAGAAGACGAAGAAGAUGAGGAUGAAUGUCACUUUUUCUGUGGUUUUACUUGGGAAGCAGUGGUGAUUGGAUAUGGGUGUGGAGUGGUGCCUGCAUUUAUCACUGGGUUACUGAUGUUGCUGGCACGGAAGCCAAAAUGGUUCGAUGGAAUCAUUGGCAGGGAAUUGGGGCUCAAGAUCAGGAGGAUGGAGAUUAGAAUGCGAUACUAAAGGUUUGCUGUAAUCUGUAUCCCAUUCCCAGGUCUUGAAUAUUCUGUAAUAAUAUAGUAAUAUGUGCUCUCAUAUAAUUCUAUAUUUGCAGAUUGGAGAGGCAUGAACAUUUUGGCAUGUAAGUUGAUGGGACAAGCAGGUUUCAGAUUCAUUGGAAUCAACCACUACUUCAGCUGUUUUGCAUCUUUUGUGAUUUUAAAUUUUACAUUUUACAAUAAAAGUAAAAAAGAUACAAGCUCCAUGGACAAGUUUUGUAUUGUGUAGUUCCAGCCUCAGGCUGAUGGUUUAUAAUGUACAAUUUACAAUAUAUCACAAUUUGUAAUAUACAGUACCAGAUGAUUUUAUGGCCAAAUUAUCCUUAAUCGCUUUCAUGAACUAAUGGAAAUUUGUAAAAGCGGGUCACAUUUGCAGUGAUGCCGCUAUUUUUCCUGAAUAUUCCUAGUUCUGAAGAUUGUCUAAAUCAUGUUAGUAGCUGCCAUCAGUGAAUGCAUUCAACGGCUUACUGAAACUGGUAGAGAUACUAAAUUCACAAGUUAUUGAUAGAAUAGAAGAUGACAGAGUGUCCAUGCGUCAGUUUAAGGAUCGAGAUGUGUAGCCGUGACUUGUAUUUUAAAAUUGCACAAGAUGCUUUACAAUGGUAGCAGAGGGCUGCGGAUUUAUUGGGUUAGUUGGAAGCACUCAAGUCGAAUUGGUUGUAGCAGAGCAAGAAGCUGAGCACGACCAUAAGAAUUUGAACUCUGAGGCUAAUUUGACUCUACUUGUAAGCCUUCCACUAGACAGCAAGGUUAGGAGAAAGAUUGAGUCGAUGUAAGCCUUCCUCUGACGCCUGUGACAGAUCAAUGAGGCAUGAAAGUUGGGAACAGGGGACGAUUGGCGUAUUGGAAUGGAAGUGGAAAACUUCUUCAGAGCCUGAUGCUCUCGGAGAUACAAUCUAAUGAAAAAGCGUAAUGAUGAUCAUGACUCCGCCCUUGCUCUAAAUCAGUAAGAUCAACCUCUCUACACAAUUCACUAAUACCACCUCUUUAUAACAUUCUCACUCCUAGGUGAUGAAUAAAGUAUCAAGAAACAUAUUUUGUAUAAUGAAUUAUAUUUUUUAUUAUAUUCCUUUUUUUAAAAUAUAUUGCGUAUUACACUGUUUAUUAAUUCUAUUUGAAGCAAUUAAUUAAUUUUUAGCCGUAAUUUAACUUUCAAGGUAGCAUUAUCAGCAUGAGGAAUAGGCAGAGCUUCCAGAUGCUCUCUUCUGAUAGAUAUCAUUCAGCACUUGCUCUGAGUUUGUUGAUCAACCACGCGAUGUUGUAGGCAGCUCCUAUCUUAUCUGCAAUCAAGUUAAUGAACCACUACCUCAGUUGUUAAGCAUCUUUCAACAUUUCACAUUUUUGAGCAUUUAAUUAAUUAGUCAUCAGUCUUGUAUUUAGCUUGAUCGAACAUAAUUGUUCUCUUCAAUUUCUUUGCCUACUUGUCGACGUGUUUAUGUAGCGUGUCUCUACUCUGUAGCUUACACAUCAUUGAUUCAUGUUAUUUUCCCCUUAGGAACUUGAGAGACAUUUGGCAUCAAAAGAAGCUUCUCUCCCGCAAGAACCAUUUUCCCCUUAUGAACAUUUGACAUUUUGGUGUUGCUGAGAGCGCAGCGACUUUUGAUGAACUCGGCCUGUCUGGCAGACAGGAGGCCUUGUUUCUGGAGUUAAUAUAGCGGAUCUCGAAGAGUUUACCCAGAUGGACCAACUUUGUUUGUUAGUUGGAUGUAAAAGUUGUUUAGAGACGGGUAUUUUGUCGAAGUUUGUAUCUAUUGGGUAUUUCGUCUUUUAGUCAGACUAUGGCUCAUACAGUUUCAUACAGUUUGAAGUUGAUAUCAAAUCUUAGAUUAAAUUACUGAACAUUGUUUCUUGAAUUCGAUAUCGAAUUUUAAACGAAAAUAUGUUCAGUUCUAAUUUAAAAGUUAUGCAAAUUACAUUAAUAAUAUGUGGCCCUGUUUGUUUACCAAAAGCAGAAGCUGCUUCUGGCUUCUGCUUUUCUUGACCCGUUUGUGUAAAGAAGCAGAAGCACUUUUAAUAAACUGAGAAUCCUAACUUCUCUCUCACAGCUUCGGCUUCUUUUCCAAACACUUUAUUCACUUAUUUACUUCUCACUUCUGCUCCACUUCUCUAGUUUAAGCAAGAAGUCACUUCUUUUAAGCUUGCCCAAACGGCCCCAUAAUCUAUUUUGAGUCUCUUGGUCUUCGGUCUUCUAUUGCAGCAUAUCAUGCACAUCUCAAAUGAUUGAAAAUGAACUCUCUCCAAAAGACAAGGGGGUCUGUUGAAGUAGACCUGGAAUUGAUUUUACUUGAAGAAACAAUAAUAGGUCACCUUUUAAAGUUUUGGUCUUUGUCUUUUAUCUCUUAAAGUCUUUGUCGUUUACAUCUCAUACAAUUUGCUAUCGUAUUUAACACUUCACACAAUUCCAUGCUAUCGUAUUGAACACUUCACACAAUUCCAUAAUAUUGAAGAUUUUUGGCUUGAAAUAUUCUAGAGAAUAAGGUUGUACAUAAAAUUCAAUAAUUUAUUUCCUUUCCUUCAAUAUUACAACUCAUAUAUUUGUUGCCAAUGACUCAUUCAAUUCGCAUCAAUUAUUAUCAUCUUCACUUUAUCAAAGAGUCUUGCUCUUCGUCCUUUACAUGCUUUUAUUACGAUCCCCAUGUGCUUUGAAAAUACUUGUGUUAUAGUCCACAUCAAUCAAUACUCCUUAUUAAUAAGCGAAACCACAUUUCAGUGGAACAUCGGUACUAAAAGUACCAAAUUUGAUCAUCUUAUAUCAUAUUUAAUUAUUAUUAUUAUUAUACUCCUAUUAAAAGUAUUAUAUUAUCCUUAGGAGAUUUAUAUUGGUCAGGAAUUUAUAAUAUUUUAAGAUAUUAUAAUUAAAGACGACUUCUAUAAUUAUUAGGAUUUUAUAAUUAAUAUAAACUUCUUACUUAAUAAUGAUAAUCAUUAAACUAUUUUGAAAAAAUGUCGUAUUGGUUAGAAUUUUAUAAUUUUAUUAUAUUAUAAUGAAAAGACUUUCAUAUUUAUUAUGAUUUUAUAAGUAAAUACUUUAAUAUUGGUUAGGAUUUUAUAAUUAUCUUGAUAUUGAUUAGAAUUUUAUAAUUAAAGACUUCAAUGUUAUACUAUUAAAAAAAGAUUUCUAACGUUGUUAGGAUUUUGGAAUGCAACAGUUAUACCACCAAUAAAAUUAUUUAUUUUAAAUUCUUUAAACUCAAAUAAUUUAAUUUAUGAAACAACUCUGUAAAACUCCUAUCAUAUUUCAGCAUUCAAAUAAAUAAAGAUUUAUAUUGAUAUUACUUUUUAUUAAUAUGCCAUAUUUUUCUUUAGUGGAAGAACAUGAGUACCAAAUACCGAAUUAUCAAAAUUUGGUUAAUAUCAUGUAAUUUUAACAUUGUCGUACUCUUCACAAUAUAAUAAUAUUAUUAUAAUAACGGAAAGGGGGUGGUAGCACUAUCAUGAUAAAUGCAAAUUCCAAUGAGAAUAAAAUUACUGUGAAAAUUUUAUAAAUAAAUUAAUUUUAAAUUUAUUUAAUUUAUAAUCUCUAUUAUAGUUUUAUAUUAAUUUGAAAAAUAUCUAUUAAUAUUGAAUAUACAAGAACUUCAAUUAGUGUUACACUUAAUAAUAUUUAUUAGACGUCUAAAAUAACUAUGAACUAAAAAAAUUAAGUUUUAUUAAAAAUGGUUGAAUUUUUUUUCCAUCUAUUUAGAAUAAAAACAACAUAAUAAUUUUAUUAAAAUGAAACUUACCAUUUUAAAAUAAAUUCAUAUAAUAACAUAUAUCCUGAGAAUGUUUAUUUUGAAAAAUAAAACUUAAACAUAAUUAAAUAUUAAUAUGUUAAUGCAUAAUAAGUUUUGUAUCUCAACAAUAAUAAUUUAAAUAACUAUAUCAAAAAUAUUAUAAUUCCAAUAAAUAAUAAACUUAAAAAAUUUAUAUAAUCCCGUGCUUGGCACNCAAAAAUAUUAUAAUUCCAAUAAAUAAUAAACUUAAAAAAUUUAUAUAAUCCCGUGCUUGGCACGGGUUAUAGACUAGUAUUGAUAAAUAGACAAAUUACAAUAUUUAGUUCAUUAAUGAAGAGAUAAGACAUUCAUGUGUAUGUAUUUGAAAAAUAAAAUAUUAUGAAGCUAAAUGAAUAAACACUUCUGAAAAGUAAAACCCGUUUCUGGUCCAUUUUGUAGCUUGAAGAAAUGAAGCAGAAGUCAAGAUUUCCUUGAAGAAACAAAAUUUUAUAAAAGUUAAAAACAAUUCGAUAAUUAUUGUCUUUUUAAAAAACGGAGCACGCAACACUCUUUUAUAUCAUAUUUCAAUUCUUAGAGUCUUCCUUCUACUACUCCAAAAGUGGUUCUAUUAUAGGCCACAUAUUAAUAGAUCGAUACAAAUUUAUUAAAAAGAUCCUUAUUUUCAACAAUCAAUAUCAGUUUGACUACAAAUUUAUCUGAAAUGACCCUUGUUAAUGGACUCUAGCUUAUAGGGUCAAACUUGGCUAUACAUGCCUCGGAGAAAAUUCACCAGUUCGUAGAAGAGACCUUUCUGCUAUCAACUCUAUGAAAAAUGCAGCACUUAUCAUCUAAAUAAAAAUCAGUAAGACUAUCUUAGAUUCUCUGAAGUGUUUAUAUUGCAGCCGCUUGUAUUGAAUACACACAUAAAUAACCACACAUAAUCAGCAAGGUUCGAAUUUUUUUGGUUUAACCAUAUCACCAACAUGAAGAAAAGACUUUCAAGCGUCAUAAUAGCUAAGAGCUUUUAUUUUCAGGAUAACCCCGGUCUAGAUUAUUAUAAAAAACUUGUUUAUAUGGAGACAUAAUAAAGGUCCCAGAAUUUUUUACUCUUCAAGAUUUCCGUUUCUAGCCAAAUUUUUUGACCAUAAAUAAUAUAUUGGUUUUACCUGAAAACAAAAUUUAAAGAAAAUUCAAAUUUUUUUAUUACUUCUUUUCUUUUAUUAUUACUUCUUUUCUUUUAUUUUGAAAUUGCAAAACAGCUCAAAGUAGUUCUAAAAGAAUCAUUCUCCCCGCUAGAAUCAGUUACAAUUAAGGUUGACAAGAUGUUUUAGCUGCGAGUUCUUCAAAUUAUUGCUCGUAAGGUCCACGACAGCUUAGAUAGUCACCAAAACUUUGGCCUGUGGAUUAAGUUGAUGAAAUCUAGUGUAUUAGAAUCAAUGACAGCACUAUUUUAUGGGAUUGAUGCUCACUCUUCAUAUUAUGUGUUUUUCUAAUGUGUGUGUCCAAAUACACACAAUAAACACUAAAUUUGAUAAAAAAUCGUAAUAUUAGUCAUUCCGCUCAUAAAUUUCAAGUGGAGAAGAAAGAGUUUCUCAAAAAAAAGUGGAGAAGAAAGAGCAUCGUGAUUGUCAUUGUACCCUUAAAAUUUGUUCGAUUAGGUUUUUUACAUAGUUUGCGCGUGGUCAUCUGGGUAUGCCUUCAUUAUAUUAAGCCAAUCUAGUAAUUCCAUAUUAAACAAGUUUAAAAUUUUCAAAUUUUGAUCUUAAUAAAAUUGAAAAAAUAGUGAACUUUUUCUUAUUUAUGAUAUUAACAAAUCUCUUACUUUUUUAUUACUGUAUUCAACUAAAUAUUUUUUACAAACCCUCAUAAAUGCAUCACAUCAGUUAUGAAAUUUAAAACAAAUAUAUCCAAUUUCUUCGAGAAAGAUGGUUGUAUAAUUUUUAAUUAAAAAAUUUAAUUAUUUUUAUUUUUAACAUAAUUUACAACUAAAAAAAUAUUAUAUGUUCACUGCUUUGUAAUAUAAUUAAAUAUAUCUUAAAUACAGUUUUUCCUAUAUAUAUGCUAACCUCGAGAGACGUUGAAGAUCAUCCCAAACAAAAUUUGAAAGGGAAAAUGAAAAUGAGGAAUUGCAACCUCUGUUUUUUCACCAUCAGUAUGAUGCUCAUCUUCUUGCAGUUGCAGCACCACCUGGUGGCUUGUUCAUUAAGCCCCCACUUGCAGAAACUUGCCUUGUUCCACUUUAACCAAACCUUCACAAUCACUCCUGGGGAUUGCGAGUAUUAUUCCUACAAAGACGAAGAAUUUUACGAAAUUCCUUCACGGGCAAAGACAAAGAACUGGAGCAUGAGUUCUGAUCACUGCACAUGGGAUGGAGUUAGCUGCGACGACAAGACGGGGGACGUAAUUGGACUGGAUUUAACUUGCGGUCAGCUGGUAGGAGCCAUACACUCAAACAGCACUCUUUUCCAACUCUCUCAUCUUCGCUUCCUCGACCUUUCUUACAAUGACUUUUCCCUCUCCGAUCAGUUCCCUCAGGAAUUUGGCUUCUUUGCAAAAGGAUUGACGCAUCUCAACCUCUCUCGUACUGGAUUAUCAGGGAGAGUUACCUCAGGAAUCUCUCAUUUGCAUAAACUGGUCUCACUUGAUCUCAGUGAGAACUUUGAAGCUGAACUUGAAGCAGAAGUGUUUAAAUCACUAUUGCAGAAUUUAACGCAUCUCAGAGUGCUUAAUCUUCAUGAAGUUAACAUCCCAUCUGUUUUGCCGGUGAAUAUCUCUACUUCUCUAAGAGUUCUUCAAUUGUCGUAUACUCAUAUACACGGAGUAGUACCGCAAGAAGUUUUCCACCUUCCCAACUUGGAAUUACUUGAUUUAUCAAAUAAUCACGACCUGAGAGCUACAUUAUCCAAAGUUAAGUGGGGAAGUAAAGCUACUCUCCAAUACCUUCAUCUUUCAUACAUCAACAUAGAUGGAGGUAUACCUGACUCAAUAGGCUUUUUGGAGUCAUUAGUCAGUUUAGAUCUGCUCGACUGUAAUUUGUCUGGGACGAUGCCAAGAUCCAUUGGACACCUCGUUCAACUUACUCACUUGGACCUCUCUUUUAAUAAUCUCAAUGGCCCAAUUCUAACUUUUUUUACAAACCUUACUGACUUAAGAUAUAUGUCCCUUGGGCUUAACAAUUUUACUGGUCCGUUUCCCUCUUUUCUUGCCCACUCUAGUAAACUAGUUGAGUUGUAUCUUUAUGGUAAUAGGUUUACUGGAUCCGUACCUCGUUCGUUGUUUCACCAUCCAUCGUUAGAGUUCUUGAAUUUGGCAUAUAAUGCAUUCACAGGUCAACUCCAUGAAUUUGAUUCUUCUCGAUCUCGGCUGCAAUCUUUUUCUUGUUCCAGCAAUUUACUCUAUGGAUCCAUUCCUCAUUCAUUUUCUCAACUUGUGAAUCUCACUGAACUAGACUUUUCAUCAAACAGUUUCAGCGGGGUUUUGGAUUUGGAAAUGUUUUCAGGCCUCGGAUUUCUAAAACGUCUUGAUCUUUCUCAUAACAGUCUUUCAGUGAGAAGUACAAUUACGGACACUCUCCCUCCCAAUCUUUACCACUUGGACUUGUCAUCAUGUAACAUGAAAGAGUUUCCUCACUUUUCAAGAGAUGCACACAUCUUCCUGGAUUUUGUAGACCUAUCAAACAAUGAAAUUGAAGGGGAAAUUCCACACUGGAUUGGGUCGAUAGGGAGGUACUCUGUCUACUAUCACAUCCCCUAUCUGAAUCUUUCUCACAACAAACUAAUAGGCGGUCUUGAGCAAUUGCCUUGGGGUCAUAUUAGGUUUCUUGAUCUCCAAUACAAUAAGCUGAAUGGAUCAUUGCCCACCUUGAUGUGUAAUUCCAGCUCUCUUUAUAUUCUAAAUCUCUCUCACAACAAUUUGAGUGGUGUACUACCCAGUUGUCCUACAAAUUUGACUCGUCUUUCAGUGUUGGAUCUGCGGAGGAAUAAAAUUCAGGGAAACAUUCCAGCAACCUUGUCAAAUUUCCGUAACCUGGAAACUAUUAAUUUGAAUGGAAACCGAUUACAAGGAAGCAUUCCUUCUUCUUUUGCUG
rnacentral:lncRNA from 1 species